rnacentral:lncRNA from 1 species
AUUUACGGUGCACUAACAACAAAGUGAGCAUUUACAGCCAAAAACAACUUUACCUCUCAAUUUCCACUUCCGGUGAAACAAGAAUGCCUAAAGUUGCUAACUAUAUCCAACGAAAAUGGUAAAGGAUCUUGAUGGUUGACAUCUGAUUCUUGAAUUCGAACACUACAAAAAAAUUAAUAUUUAAUAAUAUUUUUAGAUAUUUAAUGAUACUUAAAAUUAUUUCAAAAUAAUCUAUAGUCAUAUUUGUUGGUUGAGAAAUGAAGAGUCGCCGUAUAUAUGCCGACUCUUAUGUUAGGUAUCGGUUAAAUAUAUUCUAGCACUUUAAAGCGUCAGAAUUUUUUAAAAUCAGAACGUUUUAAAACGUCGAAAAAUUAAAAAUAAUAGUAAAAUUUAUUAUUCAAUAAAUUAGUUUGAUACAGUAGGAGGUCAUAUGAUCAAUGCUUUCGAAGCGUCUAUACUUGCUAUAUUACAGGGACACUCGGGAAUGCUUCUUUCGAGUGUCGUUUAAAUAGCGUUUAUUUGCAGGAAAAGUUUAAUUGUUUCAUAUUUUCAAUUAAAUUUAUUUUUUGAAAAAUGUAAACAAAACAAAAUAGCGUGCUAACAUUCUCUCUCUAAAAAAAAAAAAAAAAAGCAGCCCCAAGGUUUUUAAUCGAUUCAAGCCAUAAUAAACCAUUGUUUUUUUUAAAAGAUCAAUUAAUGUUUGUCAUAUUUUACACAAUUCAGCUCUCAAAAUUUAAUAAAGCUUUUACUUUCUCAUCGUAAAAACUAAAAUAAACUUUUGAACCCUAGGAGAGAAAGUUACAAUUUUUUUACUUUUAGUACUUCUUCAAAUAAUUUGUAUUUCAUUCGCAAAAUUAAGUGAGGCCAAACAGACACUGAGAUGCAUAUGUGGACGAAAUGCUGAGGAUAGGACCACACCACAGAUGCACGAUGAUGCUGAGCAAAACCAUGCAUGUGAACCACUCCCUUUAAAAAUGAGCCAAAAGCCAUUCGAUAAAUCCAUAUAUAAAUACAUAACCAUACACAAGAGAGAGAGAGAGAGAGAGAGAGAGAGAGGGUCUGUGAUGGCACUGCUCGAUGCGUCCUCGAAAAUCGUCGGGGCUCGGGACGAAGACCCGAAAACAAGACAGCGAGCUGGCAACCACCACUCACCUAUUUAAAGUUUCUAAAAAUAAGAUUAAUUUAAUACAUAUCCUUUCCAAUAUAAUAAAUAAUAAAUAUAUUUUUUAAAAAUUUAAUUUUUAUAUGUUGUUUCUAUAAAAGUUCUAAUAUUUUUAAAUAUAUUUCUUUCGUUAGAAUCUGUUAGAAAAAUUUAGUUAAUCAUAGGUUAAAUACUUAGUCAUGAUUAGUUUUUGAUAUUUUUAUGCUUAUGAUAUUAUACUGUUAUGACUUUUGAAAGAAUAUAUUUGUGAUGACAAAAUUGAAAAUAUAAACAGUUCUCUAAUGGUUCUCUAAUUAUGGUAACAAAUCAGAGGAACAUAUUUGAAAAUAUUAGGACCUUUGUAGAGACAAUAUAUAAAAGUUGAAUUUUGUAGGGAUAUAUAUUUGUCAUUCACUAUGUUUAUAAGGACCUGUAUGAAAUUAAUCCUUAAAAAUAAGAGCGUUAAUUGGUUUAAAGAAUCCGGCAUCUUACUCUAUGGCAGGACGAAAUGUCAGAAUGAAUCGUGUUGCAUUCAAAGUGACGUGGGGUUGAUUGGACCGAGUCACAACCAAAAUCCAUGAAUAUUGUGUCUGUAUACUUUAAGCGAAAUGAUUGUGUAUUCUUAACGACUCGAGUUUUUGGGAAUAAUGUUUAGCACUAACGAUCCGACAGAGUUCACUUAGAAUGCUUUUAGAAAUACAAAAAUUUCAGUCUUUAAAAAUUUUAUGAUUUUUUAAUAUUGUUUAUCUAGGGACCGGAAAAAAUAAAUUUUAUAAAAAAUAAUAAUAUAACAUUAAAAUUUUAGAUUAGAGUAACUAAUAUUAUUUUAAAGAGUAUACAAAAUUUUCUAUCAAAAACUUACAAAUUUGGAUGUUUAUAUACCGUUAAACUUACAAACGACUCACGUCAACUAUUAAAAUUAUUAACCUUGAACUAUUUCGGUUACUAUGUAAAAUAUAUAAAAACUUAUAAAAUUUAUUUUUUUUGAUAUUUUCAAAUUUCUAGAUCAAAUUUAAUUCGGCGGAUUGUAACUAUUAAAAGCAUCCCAACUGGACUGUAUAGCUUUUAAUUUUAGGGAUAAUUACCUAUAUACCCCUCAUGCGUUUGAAAAUAUCCCAUCUACGUACCCUUACUUCUUUUUUUUUUUUUUCUAAAAUACCCCUCAUAUGUUCCACCAUUAUUUCAAAAUACCUCCGCAGUUAUCCCCUGUUAGCUUAACUGGGGUUAAAUAUCGGUUAAAUGUAUACUAUAGUUAAAACCUAAACAAAGUACCAAUUUUGCCCUUACCUUAUUAUACUAAUAGUUAUCCUCUCUUUCUCUCCCAACUUGGUCGCCACCACCGGCGCCGGCUCCUCCUCCUCCAUCUCGCCUCAUCUCCUCCCAGACCACCACCACCUCCCACAUCUCCACCUCCAACACCACCCCUCUCGCCGCUCUCGUCGUCGUCCUCCUUCUCCUCCGCUCUCGUCGUCGUCGUUGUCCUCCUCCUCCGCCGCCUUGGCCGGCGCCGGGAGCAAGAGGGCCGCAACGACGAUCCUAUCUCGCCUGAGGCCGUUCGUGUGCCGUCCGCCCGAGGCCAUCCGCGUGUCGGGAGCAAGAGGGAGGUCCACGGUGCCGAGAGCAAGAGGGAGGCCCGAGGCCGUCCGCGUGCCGCAUGCCAUCCGUCAGCAUGCCAAGGCCCCCCGAGGCCGUCCGUGUGCGCGGUCCACGAGGCUAGUUUGGCCUCGUGGACCGGAUGAGAGGGAGGUCUACGGUGGACCUCCCUCUCAAUAUAUAUAUAUAUAUAUNUAAAUAUAUAUUUAUAUAGUGUUUUAUUUUUAUACAGAAAUAUUAUUAUAUAAUAUUUUAUUUAUAAAUUUAUAAUUAUUUAUUAAUAUUUUUAAAUAUAUAACUCUUAUAUAUUAUUAAUAUAUGUCUAUUAUAAUUUUAAAAAUAUUUAAUCUAUAUAUUAAAAAUUAUAAUAAUAAUAUAUAUAGUAUAUUAAUUAUUAUAUAUUUAUUAUAUAGUCGAAUUUUUGAUCCCGAAUUUUAAUUGGUGAACGUAUAAUACCCGUAUAAAUUAUGUAUCCGAAUAAUUGUCGAAUCCGUCUUUUUGCCAUAUUUUUCAACGAAUUUAAAAAUUAAAAGACAAAUUUUAUCCGAAUUAUAUCCGUACCAAAUUUUUGACGAAUCCGAAUUAACUAACCUGCAAUUAAUCGACCUCAUAUGUUCAUCUGCUCGUUCCCGACGUGCUUAAUUAAUUAAUUGUUAAUUAAUUGAUAUUUAGAGGGCACAUAAGAAAAGUAUUUGCUAUAUGAAGGAUAUAUAAGAAAAGUUAGUUACGGUACAAGAAUAUAUUGGAAUGGGUAAAAUAGUAAUUUUUCAGAGAUAAUGACAGCUCUGGAACUUAACUCCAGGAAUAUAUUAAAAAAACUUGGAACAUAAGAAGAGUAUUUUCAAUAUUAGCCUUCUAAGAGGGAUAAAUAAGAAAAUCGGAAACUUUUCAGAAAUACAUAAACAAUUGCCCCUUAAUUUUACUUUUGCAUGGAAUGAUAAAUUAAAAAGAAAAUGAAAGUAUAAAACCAAUUUUUUUUGUAAACAACUAUUUGAUCCUUCCAUUAUAAAUGAUUCACAUAUUUUGCAUUUACUUAUUUUAGUUAAGUUCAAACAAAAUUAAAUACCAUUUAAAAAAUCAGAGUCUGACUAUUUUAAUAGACAAACUAAAAUAUAUAUAAUAUGUUAAAAAAAAAAUUACAAGAAUCAAGUAGCCAUAAAAGGGUAUUGCAGGAACAUCCAUGCAUUUUACCCUGAAUGAGAUAGGCUAUGUGGAAUUGAACUUCUUUUGCAAAUUCAUUUACAGCUAAUAAGAUUAGAUUCUCCUUUUCACAGUUCAUUCUCACAGUCCCACUGACGGAUAAAACAUCCACACACACACACACACACACACACACACACACACAGUCUCAGUCAGAUGGGGGAAAAAAAAAAAACACAGUAAAAAGAAAAAAAACAGUGAGAUGUGUAAAAAUUAUUUGUUGCCUUUCAUUUCAUUAUAUAUAUGUCUCCUUCUACAGUAAGAAAGUAACAAAGUAAAAAAAAAAAAAUAAUAGAGAAGUAAGAAAAGGUGCAAGUGAGAAAGGAUGGGGGGAGGUGAUGGUACAUCACUACAUGCUCCAAAGGACAGUAAAAACCAGAAAAAGAAAAGGUGAUGGUGAGGUGCAUGAUGAUUCCUUCUGAUUCCCCCCAUCUUACACACUUGUGAGUGUAUUUCCCUAUCCCUUUUCCUUUGCUCUCUCUCUCUCUCUCUGCUGUCCUUUUCUGAAAUCAGUUUGGCUUUUGUCUGUUCCCUCUUACUUCACUUCAGUUUGGUGUUUGUAUGCAAAUAUUUUUGACAAGUAUUUGGUAGGGUGGGUGGGUAGCUUAGUUGGCUAAACAGUAACAGUAGAACAGUAAAAUUACUAUAUGCUAUCUUUCCCUCCUUUCUCUCUCUCCCCCUUUCCUCUUCUUAAAUUCAGCAGCAGCAUGCAGCAGCAGCAGCAGCAGCAGCAGCAGCAGAAACAUUUAAAUAUGGGUAAGUGGGAGUGAGAAAAGGAGUGGAGGACCAGAUCUAAUCUAUAAGCUAAAAUAAACUAUAAACUAAGAAAAGAUAAAGAAGGAAAGUAACCUAUCAACCCUAGAGUAAGUAGUAUUCUUUUGCUUCUCUUUUUCAUCCUAUUUGUUAAACCUUUUUUCUUUCUUUAUUUUUUUCCCUGCAUUGCUGGCCAUUCCUGCCACAAUUAAAAAACAAUAACAGAACAAUCAAAAGGUUGGCAGAUGAUAUUAUUAUUUUAUGAAUCAUUAUUGAGUGUUGGUUUGUAUAUUACUACUGUGAGAGAUUGAUGCUUACUCCAGCUGGGAGGGGUAGAUCCCCUCCCCCUCCUUGUCUCCUCCCUCACUAUUCACAUUCCAAUGGCACCAUGCCCAGAUGAAAACCUGAGAGCCCCACGUUCCCUCAUUCAAUUAUUGAGCAUACAAAAGUAGUUUGAUUGCAGUUUUUCAAAAAAAAAAACCCUACUUUUUUAUUAAAAUCUCUUUAACAUCUCUACAAAAGUUUAGAAUUAAAGCUUCUACUUUCGAGAGCCUCAAAUUAAACUUAUUUCAACUUUGUGCAUCGAAAGCUAAACCAAACGCGCACUAAAGCUUAAUUUAGAGAUGCAUGUAUGCUUUACAAAUGUUUUAAAACUCUGCAUUUUUGCAGUGGAUUAUCAAAAUAGGACUAAUAAGUAUUCUCUUUUUCCCUUUAUUUUUUAACCAAAAAAUAGUAAUACCUGGGCAUUUGGAAGAAGCAUGAGUUGUAGGAAGAAGCCAGAUCAAGGGUGGAGGUGGGAGGGAGAAGAUUAGAAGCCAUGAAACUGCUGGUGCUAUUACUCUGAGGAGACUCAACAGGCAACAUUAUUGCUGAGGAGAAAGAGGAAGAGUCGCCCAACAAGAAAGAAGAAGAAGAAGAAGAAGAAGAAGCCUUGGUUGGUGAUGCAAAGGGGCUAUCAGGCAAAUUGUGCUCCAAGCUACUGCACAUUGUUUGCACCAAGAAACAAAAAGCUCAAAUGGAAAGAGCAAAAACAAAACUGAUACUAAAAGAAUCGGACACAAAGUAUAUAAACCAUGUUAAAGAAGAAAAAGGAGGGACCCAAACAACAAGAACCAUUCUUUUCUCUUUGCCCCCCACCCCAAUUAGUUUCCUAAUAAUAGCUUUUGAAAACAAAUACUAGUGGCAAAAGGAAAAUAAAGAGGGAAAAAAUGGUUCCUUUAUUUCUUUCUUUUUCUGAAAGUAAAAAGAAAAAUGUUUACCUUUCUUGGAAAUCACAAUCCACAUUGGGGUUUGCUUUUCCGGUGGAUUCCUCCUUGUUGGCCGCGUUGACCGCCGAGGCACUGGGCUCUGCCACUGCCGCAGCUGCUCCAGUGUUCAGCUUCUUAUCUAUAAAGGGAGAGAGAGAGAGAGAGAAAAUCGAGGGAGAGGAGAGAGGAGUUAUUAGCAACAUUAACUACACCAAGAUCCCUCUUUUAUAGCUUGUUCUCCAAAUUCAAGGCAUUUAAGCAGGGUUUUUGUGAGCAAGAAACUCACCUUGGCUUGUGGCUUCUCCUCCUCCUCCAUUGCUCUUCCCCUCAGCAGCAGCAGCAGCAGCAGCAGCAGAAGCUGAAGCUGGGUUAAUGGUGGGAGAGGGGAUGGUGGUGGGGGUGAGGUGGGUUCGAGCUUUGAGAUCAAGCAGUUGGAGACCCAUGAAUCGCCUCCCUUGUAGCUCGAUCGCUUGCUGGAGCUCUGCGGCUUGUUGCUGCUCCUCCAGCUUCCUCCUCAGAAGCACUUCUUGGCAACUAUUAGCACCAUACAACAUCCUUGUUCCUAGAAUUUUAGUGAAAAAAUUGGUAAUCUUAGCGAAAAAUGAAUCAAAUCCAUGGAUUAAAAACAAAACCCAAGUUUAAUUCUCUACUGCUUACUCACCAAUUUGAGGCAAUUCAAAGGGAUCUCUGGUGUCUAGUAGCCCUGUGGGAGUCGAACACCCAGAAAAAUCCCCCCUUUCAGUUUGCUGUUGUUGCUGUUUCCUGCAUCAAAACGUAAGCAAAAUUAAGCAUUUUGAUCCAAAAAGACGUGGAAUUUGAAGGGGAGAGAAAUAAAAAGAGAGAGUGAGAGAGAGCUAAAGAUCGAAGAGGAGUGCCUGUACUUGUCGGGGACUUUGCCCUUCUCCUUAUACGGCUUCACGAGAACGCGCGCGUCGCAAACGAAAUGGGGGUUUCCUUUCGCGAGAAUCAGCUUCACUGUUUCUGGGUAGACGAAAGUGACGAAGCCAAACAUCCUCUUUUGCUGGUAGGGGAUUCGCACAUCUUGCACUGGUCCAUAGAUACUUCCACAAAGCACACAAAACAAACGCAACCCGUGUUGUUAGAUUAGAGCGAAGAGCCGUGCGAUGAUACGUAGAUCGGGUUUCUCUUCGGCAUUUCGUCGAACACCUACCUGAAGUAUUUGGAAACGUCCUCUUCGCUGAAGGUGCUAUCGGCGGGGAAGGUGAGGUAGAUCUGCCUCGAGCCGGGGUUCGCCAGCCCCGCCGCAAGGUCGCUCCUUUCGAGCCGCGGCGACCGGGCCACGAACUUAUGCGCGUCGUCGCACCCGAGCAUCAGCGCCGCGGCGGUCGCUGCCGCGGCCGCCGCCGCCGCGGCCGCGCGGUUCGGGGCCGAGGGCGAGGGGGGCACGGAGCCCGUGGGCGAGUAGGGGAACGCCGAGGCCAUGAGCUGCGAGACCCCGCCCCCUCCCCCUCCCCCUCCGCCUCCUCCGCCUCCGCCGCCGACGCCGAGGCGCGGGCUCUUGGCGCGCAUCAGGACCUCCUGCUCCGCCGCGGCGGCGGCGGCGGCGGCGGAGGGGUCGUCGGGGAAGCCGUGGAGGAAGCGGCAGGUGGAGCCGUUCUUGCAGUUUUAGCGCGGGCGUAGUAGAGGCAGGGCUUCUCACCGAGCCGCGUCCCCGCGGAGGCAGGCUCGCUCACGAGCAGGCUCGCGCGGUCUGGGCCGCGGCGCGCCCACCCGCCAUCGAGUACGGAAACACCCGGCGCCGCGCGGUCCCGCCGUCAGCUGAGGAAAGGCUCGAUGGUCCUGGAGCUGCGAGCUCAUCGACGAGAGUCCCCCGCAUGAGAAUCGCCGAGCCGCCCACCACCCACCGCACGAGCUCGUCCCCCCGGCGCCGCCGCCCUGGAGCUCCUCGCCCCGCUUCCCGCGCUGGCGCGAGAACGGCGUCGGGCGGCCCGCCCCCCACGGCGAGGUGGUAGGGGAGGUGGGGACGAGCGCGGCGCCCAUGAGCCGCGCGGAUGAGGCAUGGGCAUGGGCAUGGCGAGCGAAGGGGGAAGGGGAAGGGGAGGAGGAGGGGGCGAGGUUGAGGCCGAGGUCCUUGCGGGCCUUGACGACGAGGGAGUGGAGCAGGGCCUCGGGCCCGAAGGCCAAGCGGAUCAUCUCCUUCUCCCCGUGGUCCUGGAUCAGGAGCAGCCCCAUGAUCUUCGCCGCGUGCUCCGGGUCCAGCGACUGGAUCCGCGAGAACACCACCUUCGUCGCCUCAUACGCAUCCAUAACCACCACCACCACCACCACCACCACCACCACCACCAAACCCUAUUACCCAAAAAUUAAAACUUCAAACAACACACAAACAAACUGCUGCUACUACUACUACGUAUAUACCACCACUCCUACUACUACAACUAGUACUAGCAAGAGCAACAAGCAACAGCUCUUCUUAAUUCCUUCAAUUCCCCUUUUAUUUUCUCCCUUUUUUUUUCCUCCUCUCCUUUCUCUUUUCUUCUUCUCUUUUAUACAGAGCUGGGGAGAGAGAGGAGUGGUGGAAGAGAGAGAAAGAGAGAAGAGAGAGAGAGAGAGAGAGGGAGACACAGCUAUUGCUAUUGGGGUGUAGUGUUGUAAUAAAGAAAGAAACAAAGUAAGAGGGUAAGGGAAAGAGGGGAGGAAAAAUUCUAGAAUGUAACGGGUAUAUUAGUGACGUGGCGUAACAAACCAAUCAAAUAAAUCAUUUUAAGAAUAUAUGUCCCAUCAUGAUUGUAAAAAAGUAUUUUUAUUGUACUUUUGUUUGAAAAGAAGGAAUAUGAUUGGCUUGUUAUUGAUGACGUGGUGUAAGUGUGACAGUGUAGAAUUCCUCUAUCAUGAGGAUAAGAGAAAGGCUAGAGAGAGAGAGAGAGAGAGAGAGAGAGAGAGAGAGAGAGGGGGACCCCAAAAAAAGAGAAUUAAAUAAAAGAGAAAACCCAAAUGGCUUGUGUCAACUAAAUCAAGUACUUUAUUAAGCAAAACCCAGGGUGGUAGCAUUGAAGGUCCCCAAAAUUAAGUAAGGUGUUUUUUCAGAUCUUCCUUGUUUGGACUCUAACACUUGCUUUGAUCACUGAACUUUGAUUCCUCUCUCUGUAUUCUUCUCACUAUUUUACACCCCUAGUUACCAAGGUGGUGGAAGUGAAGUGGCUUAAUUAUAUAUAACAUACAUAUAGACACUACCAUCUCUCUCUCUCCCUCUCUCUCUCUCUCUCUAUCUAAUCUCCUAUUUUGUGCUCUCUUUUAUUAGAGAGUAGAGGAGAAUCUAAUAAGUAGAAAGAGCAGGUUCCCUUGUGUGAGAUCUUAAAAUGCAAUAUAUUGUACUGGCUUAAUUGCUGAGUUUGUUCUAUCUCUUGCUUUGAGCACUGUGCUUUGUUCAAAGCUUGUUGUCUUUCACUCUCUACCUCUCUAAAUUAAUAUUCCUUCCCCCCGAGCCAUCAUUUGGUUGCUGGGCCCCCUCAUCUCCCCCUGCUGGUGUUAGUGCUGCUCCCCUUUGAUUGAUAGCAUCAUGCUAAUGUUUUUUUAAUUCAAUAAAUAUAAUAAUGAAAGAUAAUAAUAAUAAUGCACUAACAUCAUGAAACUCAAUUGCUACUGUGUGGAGCUAAAUUGAGAAAGGAGAGAUUCUAAUCUUCAGACAUGUUGGAAAGGAAUAAAACAUUUAUUUAUUGCCUGUGUGUGUCAUCUCCUUCCAAAUUAAAUCCUUGAAAUAAACCAAUGAAAGCCUGGUCAUUUAAUUUAGAUAUUUUCUUUGUGCAGGGAAAGAAAUAAUAAAUUUAUUAAGUUUAGGUCACUGUACCAUAGAUCAAUUUGAUUGGAACAGCUCAACAAAAAAAAGCAAAUUUUCUUUAAUUUCUUUUACCAUCAAAUCAGGCUAUAUUGGAAUGCUUAGUGCCCCCGCAAAAUUUCGGUGUCAUUAUAUAUUCUUAUUAGUUUUUCUUUUGGAAUAAUUAAUUUCUCUACUCUAAAAAGUGUUGAUACAAAAUAUUGUAACAUUAACAAUAGGCUGGAUUUUUAGUUUUUUGCCAAAAAAAGUGAAAUGAGCUUCCAUAUCUUAAUAAAAUGUCUUAUUUAGAGACUGUUUUUCCCUCUCAUAAUGAAAAGCUUAAUUUGUUAACCCUUUUUUAAAAAAAGCCUAACUUAGAUAAAAAAUAUUAUUAACAAAACAAUGUUAAGACCUGUAAGACCUUUAGAUAUAUAUUUGUCGGCGCUUAAAUUGAAAAGCAGUAAAUAAUGAUAUAAAUAGUAAAAAAAAUUUAAAUCACGAAAUAUAGAUAUAAAGAAACUAAUCAAUAAUUCUAAAAUAUCAUGCAUCCACAUAUACUGAUUCUUUUGAAACAGCCAAAUUCAAAUAACACUCAGCAAAAAAAAUUGAGAACAUGCCAAAAAAAAAAAUUGCUACAGGAAUGGUCAAUUAUGAAAGGCAUGCAUGGAGUCACCAAGACACAUAUGUAGAGAUCUUUUAUAUCAAAUUUGCACCUCCCUUCUCAUGAAUUAACCAUUAGAGCCCCAUUAAAAUUUAAUAAAUGUAUCAAAUGAUGGGUGGGGUGUGAAUAUACUCUCCUCAAUCAUCAAAUCCCCACUUCACCAUAAUAGGAAGCAUGCAGUUCAUAGUGUCCUUCUUUUUGCUGAUUCAAAGGUAAAUAAUGAUUUACCUUGAAAGAAAUAUAAAAAAAAAGUAAAAUAUUCCUACUCUUUCACUUUUCACUUAUUAAAGUCCUUGUCUCAAUCUAUUGCUAUACUCAGCUUUUACUUCUUCUUUUUUUUUUAACUACUUCCUCAAGUGGGAGAUUUUCAACUACGUGCACGAGAGCCCAAGAGAGGAGGGAUUAAUUAUUCCAUGCACAUAGUACACUCGUGCUCCAUGCAUGGUUGCUGUAAAUGCUCAAAUCAAAUCAAAAUUAAGUUUAAUUUAUUAAAUGUAUCUUAUAACAUUCAAAAAGUUUAUAUGUUAAAAAUUUUAAAGUUUGACGAUCUAUUUUCUUAUAUAUUACUAAUUAAUUGAGCAAAAUUUCUUUUUUAUUAUUAUUCGACUAAACUUAGAUGUAUAACUACUUGUCAACCUAGACAACUUCCUUCAUAAAAAUAAAUUUUCAGUUCCAAUCUCACUAUAUAUAUAUAUCAAGAAUAGGGUAUGUGCAUGUGACCGACCAACAUCAUAAAAAGAAUUAUUAAUAAUUAAAAAAUUCUAGUAAAUCCAACACAAUUUUUUAUAUACUGUUAAUUUUGGGGCAAUUUGAAGCCUAGCAGAUCAGAUGUUAAAAUUUAUUAUUUGUUACGCGUAACCUUUGGAUAAUUUAAGGUCGUAUUUAUUAGAAUGUAUUUUAAUUUUAUAACAUCAAUCUCCAUACAAAGAUGCAUAAAUAUUGUGCUUUUCUGUCACAAGUAUUCUAGGAUGAUGUUGUAAUAUGUUGUCGAUGAUCGAGGUUUUUGGUUAAUAUAUUCAUACAAACAGUUCAAAAGUGUGUGUAUAUUAUAUAUAUAUAUAGAGAGAGAGAGAGAGAGAGGGGGAAAGAGAGAGAAUUGGGUUGGAAUAUUAUUAAUAGUAUUUGAGCUAUUUUGCUAUCGAUCUUACUAUUAAUAGUGGUUCCCUAGGGUUUAGUGGUGAUCCUCCUAGGGUUGAGUGAAUGGUUGGUUGAUAGUAUGAUUUAAAAGUUAAAAUUGAUUAAAGUAUAGGUCUAACGGUUAAAAAAUUAAUAGCAAAAAAGUCUAAAUACUAUUAAUAGUAUUCCAGUUCAACUCUCUCUCUCUCUUUCUAUAUAUAUAUAGAGUAGGGCUGCUGUGCUCUCAGGAGCACGGAGGCCUCCGUGCUCCUGAGCCGUUUUCGAUGAUGGAAUUUUCGAAUCGAGAUCGGCUCCGUUAGACUUGAUCUAGCACAUUUGAAGUUUCUUGAAAAUAAUUUUUACGAUUUUUUGAUAUCAUUUACCUAGUGAUCGAAAGGAUUCAAAAUCCAUAAUUUUUAAUGGUUGAUAUCUGCCGUUUUUAAGUUUAACGGUGUAGAAGUAUUCAAAUCAAAUGAAAUUUUGAUACAAAAUUCUUUAUACUAUCUACAACAAGGUCAAUAUUUCCGAUCGAAAAUUUUAGUGCUAUAUCACCACUUUUUAUAGAAUUUUUAUUUUCAGCCGUUAAAAAUUAUUGAUUUUAAAUCAUUUCAAUUGCAUUAGGUAAAUGAUAUACGCAAAAAAUCGCAAAAGAAUAUGUUCUAGUAAAUUUUCAAAUGCGCUAGAUCAAGUCUAACGGAUGCCGAUGUCGAUUCGCGAACAUCCAUCAUCGAAAACGGUUGCCGUCCGUUUUCGAUGAUGCGAAGUACUGAUCGCUCUCAUACUUAACGCGUGUCGAUGAUAGAGCUUGCCGAAUUGACAAUCCAUCCGUUAAACAGUUUAUUUACAUAUUUAAAACUUCUGAGAAAUCAAAUUUUAUAUAUUUUUCGCAUCAUUUACCUUACGAUCAAGAGGUCCACAAAUUUGACGAUUUUUAAUGGCCGUGUAUGCGAAUAUUGUUUAGUUUAACGUGGUUGUAAAAUAAUCGCAAAUUUUGUUGAAUUUUUGACUCAGAAAUUCUAUUACUACCAGAUAAAGAUCACUAGCUCCGCGAUCUUGAAUGAAGUCUCCAAUCAUCUUUUAGGACGUCGUUUGAUUGGUUGACCAUUUUUAUGCGCCGCUUAAUGGACUUUUAUUAUGAUUUUGAAAAUUUACAAAAUUUAUUUUCUAGAAGUUUCAAAAUACUCUAGAUCAUAUUUAACGGAAUGGAUCGUCGAUUCGGAAACUCCAUCAUCGAAAACAACUUAUAAGUACGAGGGCUCCAAUACUCAUAAUAGUAUAAUAGCCACGGCCUCUAUAUAUGAAUAUAUCAAUAAUUUAUGUCAAUAUUUUGGAAGACUCACAACAUUUUUCUCGAAAAAACAUACCUCUAACAAUGGAUCAUUAAGAACUUUCGAUUUGCUGUCAUUUGUUACUUUUGUCUUUAUCCUAGUAUUAUAAUGAUUUCCUCUAUAGUUUUUUUAAAACUUUUUACAUUUUUAGAUCAUCUAUAUGAUUGUUACAUUUUUAGACUUUUUUACCAGAGUGGGGGGGCGAUAAACUCUCUCUCUCUCUCUCUCUCUCUCUUGGUCUUGGGUGGUGUUGUGUGUCUCGUGUGGGGGCGAAGGGGAGUGUGAAGAGGGACUACUCGGCUUUAAAGGAGGAGAGGAGGGGGGAAAGGUACUCAUGGUGUCAGAGCCCCCUCACAUGGGGGUUGUGCAUGCACGGUGCAUGUGGUCACCUCCUCCCCCCCCCUCACCCCACCCCACACCCCACACACACACUCCCUACUCUCUCUCUCUCUCUCUCUCUCUCUCUCUCUCUCUCUCUCUCUUUUACUUACUCUCUCUCUCUCUCUCUCUCUCUCUCUCUCUCUCUCUCUCUCUCUCCGCUCUGUAUGUGUUCUCAAAAGCCACCAAAUUAGGCACAGGAAUGUGGUCUCAAAUCACCCAUCCGUUUCUGCAUGCGUACCAAGGCCCUGUCCUUUUCCUCCUCCGCAUAUGCGCCAACUCACGUGUGCUUGCCCUUGGCACGUGGGAAUGCCUUGAGGUGGGAACUUUAGGCUGAGGGAGGGUGCAAGUAAUGCUUCGUGAACCUCGUCCGCCGCGUCAGCAUCCGUGGACUUACUAACUAGGGCUUGUCUGGUCCUCCAUUUGUUACUGCUUUCAGUUAUGAUUAUAACCGCAAUACUGCAUUUAAGCCACCGUUUAAUUCGGGAUUAAGUAAAAAUUUGUUAUUUCAGAAAUAGAGUUAGGUUCAGAAUUAAGGUGAGAUUAGAGUAAUUUUGUAUUUGGUUGAAAAUUAGGUUUAGUCCAGAUAUAGAUAAAAUAGUGUUUGGUUGGAGUAGAUGAGAUAAGAAGGAUAGUGGAUAAAAUAGUGUUUUGUUUAAUUGGAGUAGUAGGGUGGGAUGGGGUCCCAAAUUGGGUGUUUGGGAAUAACUUCGGAGUUAAGGGGUUAUUCCACCCCUUAACCCCGAACCAAACUGGUGCUUAAUUAGAGAUUAGAGAUGUUUGGAUUGUUUGCUGUAUCGAGAAGUAGAAAUAUAAUUUUUGAGACAUAGAAAUAAAAACUUGAUAAUUCAGAUAUUAUAAUUUUAAAUUUUUUUUUUGAGAAAUAGAUAACAUGCUACCCGCUUCAUUUAUUUUAUUUAGAAUUAAACUUAGCUGAAAAUAUGAAUCAAUUAAGAUUCAAACUUGAGACCUCAAAUACCAACCACCAAACUCUUUGUCACUUGCAUUAGGGACGGUCGGUUAUAAUUACAAAAAAGUUAUUGAGAAGAAUUAAAUAUAUAUGAGUAAUGUCCAUCAUUCAUUGCUUGUUCGGCUGUUUAAAUCUAAACAUCUCUUGCAAUUGUUGUAUUGAUAAAUAGAAACAAGAUUUUGAAUCUUAAAAUUAAGUGUGUAUGAAGAUGGUUUAAAAAUGAAGGUUUUUUAAUUCUAUAAAACACGAGACUAUUGAUUGUUUUCAUAUUACAGUGCUUCGAUGAUCUGUAAGCACUAUUUAAAUAAUACUCUAUCAAGCAAUACUACACCCUACAACGGGACCUAAAUACGCACACAUAUUAUUUUUUAUAAUAGCACUUCUUAGUCACCACUAUGUGAAACACUACUUCGCCCUACAACAAAGCUCAAUAGGUACAGGGUGGUAGCGAUUGAAGUAAGAGAUAAGACAGAUUGCAUAUUUUGUUGCAUGGGUGGUCCACGGCGAAUGUAGUGGACCAUGUCUAGGGAACAAGUUUCAUUAAAAGAGAGGUAUGGAGAGGGGGAGCAAAGAGCAAUGGGUGUUGGGGAUUGGGAGAUUGGGAAUGGUAAAGAGCAAAGGGAUACGUGAAGGAGUGGGCAUGCACAAAAAUUAAGAUCACUCUUCCUAUUUGAGACCAUUCUUUUUGGAGCCCAAUUAAUUCGAUCCGCAUGAAGCAAUUAUUUUAAGUCACUCUCAUGCAUAAAUAACUUGGAUGUGGAUGGAUCCUAUCAAUUGCACACCUGAUUCUUAUCAAGAUCACUAAAAAUGGAGAGCUGAGCUCUAGAUGCUUAAAUUUGUUAAUAGCUUAACUAUUUCUUCUUUUUUUUUUUUUUAAGUUAAACUUAGUUAUUUCACGUGAUAUCUGCCAAAUAGAAGAUUUUGAUUUUAUGUUUUUGCGGGUUUUUUUUGUUGUUAGAUAUGUCUCGAAUUUUGAAAUGCAAAAUUUACUAACUCUAUUCUAUUUCGGUCGACUCAUCAAGUUAAGUUAACAUUAUCCCUAAUUUUGUUGAAGUUUAAUAAUUAAUAUAAAUGUAUCCUUUAUUGACUUCGUAUGGUUGAUGUUGAAUAUAACUAUUAAAUAUACCAUUAUCUAGUAGCUUAUUCUUUUGGAGAAAAUGAUUAUUUCAUAUUAUUUAAUGUAGUAUUAGAAUGGAAGAUCCUAAAUUCGAGACAGACUAGACUCCUUAUAUAUGUGAUAUCCUCUCAUUUAAUUUAAGUCCACAUCUUGAGGCUACCAAAAUGUCUCAAGUCUAGAUGCGAGGGAUGGCUAUUUCACAUUACUUAACAGAUAAUACUUAACAGAUAAGAGGGGUUAAGAGUGUAUUUUGUACAUGAAUUUUUAUGAGAGAGGGACAUUUUGUACACCGGUUUUAUUACAAUGAAAGUCUCUGUUUCACCUUUGCCCGUGGAUAUAGGCUAGCGACUGAACUACGUAAAUAUUUAUGUAUUUUGUCUUUAUUUUUUCUUUCUCGAUUCUUUUUUGAUAUUUUCGCACCAGACGUCCUAGAACUUUUUCGCUUUUGCCAUAACACUUGUCAUAUUGAUCCAUUUUCCUCUCAUUUCAACAGUUUUAGUCAAAAUCAGCCUUAUACAUAAGAGGAGAACAUACUGUUUGCUACAGAUACUAAAGGAGUAAAUAAUUAAAGUUACGCUACAACCAAGUCGAACAUUGAUAGUAUGGUUAGAAAAUAAGAAAAAGAAAUAUUCUUUUCCAUAGAAAAUCUAAUUUAAGACCAAGCUAUUUAUAGUUGAUUGCUAUAUUUAAUUACUAUUAAUAUAUCUAGCUAGUUAUAGUACAACAAUAUAGAAGAUAACAUUAACUCUCACGAUAUUCUUUUUUUCUUUUUUUAGGAAAACUCUUAUGAUAAUUGGGUCACUAUCGACGUUAUAUACAUAACACCACAUAUAAAUUUUAAAAAUAAAUAUUUUACAAGACAUAUAUAUAAUAGUAUUAUAUUUAUUAUGAGAUGAUAUUGCAUACCUUAACUAAUUAAAAUCAUAUUUUAUGGUAAUGUAUUGCCUGUUAUGUGAUAGUAAAGUGUAAAAAAGUAAGUAUAUCAUUCGGCCAAACACCAUGUCCUAGUGUACAAAUUAAAGCUCAAUGCAUGCUACAAAUGAAUCAAAAAAAGAUCACUCAUGGAAAAACAAUAGCACAACUAUCUAUAAUCAAGAACUUUAAAUACAAAACAUUUAGUUUUAUAAAUGUUUCAUUUAAAACUACUUUUGGUUCCAUGAAAAAUUUUCGUAAAGAUAGUUAUCAAACUAUCAAUUAGCAAAGUAGUACUAUACCAUACCAAAAAAACAUAUAGUAUCAUUAUGGGCUCUAAUAUGAUUUUCAUAUAUUUUAUGUAAAAGUGUUUUCAGUAAAAUAACUCUAAUAUGAUUUUCAUAUAUUCUGUCACUUUAAUUGUGAUUUCCUGCUUCUGAGAUGAAAACACUUGAAUGUAUGAAUACACUUGAAACAAAUUAUAGGUUGUUGCAUAUUAUAAUGUGUCUCGAUCUAAGCUUAAAUUUUACCCUGCUAUAUAUUGCCAAUUAUCUAACUGGAAUAUUGAUCAUAAAGGAGAAAAUAAUUUUAUUUUCUUCAGACCUUUUGCUGGGAAACAAAAUAGCAACGAAUUACUCUUCUAAGUUAUUGUAAAGAGAGACCAAAAGAAAUUAUUUGCCGCAUAUAUCUAAAUGUUGGCAUGGCCAAAAGCGGUUAUUUGGAUGUAAAUUGAUACUACUUUUCCAGUAAGAUUACAACUCAUCGCAUAUCGUGACGUGACGAAUUGCAACCUCGACCUAGCUACUGAGCAUUUAUAUACAUAUAGAGACCAUAUCCAAGGCAUUAAUGGCUUGCGCAGUUGAUGUGUGGCUAAGGCACGAUAUUUUGUUAUUCAGGUUCUUUUUCUUUCUUUCUUUUGUUUUUUACAUUGAUAGCUUGGACUAUGAUUUUGUCGUGAUUCACACCCGAUUACAGGGCAAAAAUCUCUACUUUAUGCAACAAUGACAUCCUAACAUUACCGAUCAGUAGAUUUUGUUGCUAGGGUUACUUCAUGAUUCAGAUACCGAUCGAUGGACUUGUUUCAGGUGGAAGGAUGAUAUGGUGCUUGAUUCAAAUUUGGGCGGGAGUUUUAAAGUUACCAAACGGUGGAGCAGUUAAUUAAGACCGAAAUUGAGUAAAAAGCACUAUUAGGUUGACUAAUGUGCUUAGAUCAUGUGUGGGUGUUUCCAACACUAUUUUAAAUUAAAUUUGUUUACUAUUAUUAGUAUAUAAAAUGAAAGUUUGCCUUUUAAACCAAGAUCAAUGUGUUAAAACUGAAUAUUCAACAUUAGCGCUCGUAAACCCACUAUCUUGUGGACUAGGCACUCGAUGAAAGCAAAUCAAAUCUCUCCCUUUCUUAAUUACAUCAUAGCUUGCAAAAUGGACCCCACUAAUUAAGAUACAAUGACAAAAUACCUUUUCUUUUUCAGAUAGAAAAAAAAAACCAAAGUGAACAAUAUAUGUGGCAAUCCUUAUCCAAAUGCUUAAGCAGUAGUUGUCCUCUCAUUAAUUUGAAGUCUCAGGAGGAGUCAAAUUUGAUUAUUGUAAGUGGGCCAGCGAGGACUGAUCAGCACAUUGUUAUCCUUGUCAUAUUAUAUAGGCUAAGGAGCUGUACCUAUGAAAAUGAUAGCAUAUAUAUAUAUAUAUAUAUAUAUAUAUAUUGAUCCACGAUGUAUAACUUUAGAAUAAUGUCACGGGGCAAAUACAUGUCAAAGAGAAACAUUCAACGAAUCACCCCAUCAAGUUUUUCCCUUGAUGGCGAUUAAUCAACAAACGACUAGAAUAUGUAAAAUAAGGCGACAAAACUGUAUUAUUUUCAAGGUAACAAAUUAAGAGAAUUAGCUAGUUCUGAUCGAGGCAAUAAAAAAAGAAAUUUGGUUACAUAUUAAUGUAUAAGCAAGAAAAUAAAUUUUGGGACAUCUAUGUUGGGAUUUGAUUAGAUUUGUAGUAAAUUUUUUAACUAGAUAAGAAUUAAUAUUUAAAUUUAUUAAAGAUAAAUUAAGAUUUAAAUAUUAAUUAGAGUAUAAAUCUAACUAGAUUAGGAUAUAUAUAUUUAAAUUUAUUGAAGAUAAAUUAAAUAUAGAUUUAAAUAUUAUUUGGAGUAGGAAUCCUUAUUAUCUUAGGAUUUGGGUACACCUAGGAUGGAGCCUUAUAUGCAGCUUCAUUUAUGCAAAUUGUUGAAUGACCCUAUAUGAUGUACGGACGAGAGAAAGCCUCUUAUGAGAGAGAAAAUGAGAAGUUGUAUUUUUGUGGGUUUAUAGAAGAUCAGAGGAGGAUGGGAGAGAUUCAAAAGGAGAGCUCAAAUUAUAGUUACUCUAUUGCAGAAAAGAAGUCAGAUGUAAUCUUUUCAUUUUUAGUGAAUCUUAUUUUACUCGCAUAUUUUCUGUUUGGUUGUUUCAUCUCUUUUCUGCUGAGAAGACAGGUUUAUGAUAAAAAUUCGAUUUGACGUUACUGUUACAAAAUCCCAACAGUCGGUAUCGGAGUGGGUUGCAAGUUCUCAAAAUCCGGUACUAGGGCAAGUACCGCAUUUCCCAACAAUCUAAUCAUACGUUAAUUAGGUUUAAACAUAUAUUAUUACAACUUUAUUCAUCAUUUAAACAUGUGUAUUUAUGUGUCACCUCUAAUGAUUACUGGAAGAAGGACAUAAUAUGUCAUUUGACUUCAUUGUCUAGCUUGAUAAGUAUUAUUAAUUAUGCUAAGUAAAAUUACUCUGAAUUUAACAUUUUCAUUAGGAAAAGCUUUUCCAUCUAUAUAUCUAGACAUCAGUUACUAACUGGGUGCUUAUAAGGUGAACAUAACAAUUGAUCAAAGUAGGUUGAUGCCUUUCCCAAUUGACUAAUCUCUAUUAGAUCCGCAUUUAAGGCAUCUUUGCAUUUAUAGUAAGUAACUUUAUUUCCCAAUUGACUACCUCACUGUUUUAUUUUGCAUAAUCACUAAAAAAAUAUAGCUUAAUUUAUUAAUAAUUACAUUAUAUCUCUCUUUCCAUAUAUCUCUCACUCUCUUUGAAAUACAUGGCUAAAGAUAUAUAUAUAUAUAUAUAUAUAUAUAUAUAUAUAUAUAUAUAGGAAGCAAGUGAUCUGUUUACUAUAGCAUUUUAUUAUUUUAAAUAAAAGAUCCAUGAAGUUUAUGAGAUCUAGUUCAAAUUGCCUCGGCUAGCUGCUAAGCUUUCAGCGUUGUAGCUUUUGCUCGACCUUCGUGCCUUCCGAGGCACGAAGGCUAUCGUAUCAUCGGAGUGAGNACGUGAUUUGGAUAUUUCUACACCGUUAAACUUGCAAACGGCUCACUACGACCAUUGAAAUUUGUUGAUUUUGAGCCCAUUCGAUCACUAGGCAAAUGAUAUCGAAAAAUAGUAAAAUUUAUUUUCUAGGUACUCCAAAUACUCUAGAUCAAUUUUAACGGAGCCGAUCGACGAUUCGAAAGUCGCAACAUCGAAAACAAGCUGAAAGCACGGAAGGCUUCGUGCUUCCGAUAGCAUAGUAGCCUCACUCUAUAUAUAUAUAUAGAAUUAUGCUACUAUACUAUCAAUAGUAUCAAGCCCUUGAUACUAUUGAGUUUUUGGCAGUUGGAUGAAUAGAUGUGCGGUUACGUUGAUAGUGGUCCCCGGUUAAAUUGAUAGUGGUCUCCUAGGGUUGAGUGGGUGGUUAAUUUAAUAAUAUAAUCUAACGGGUGGAACUGAUCAAAGGGUAGAUCUAACGGUAGAAAUCUCAAUAGUACCAAGGGCUUGGUCCUGUCGAUAGUAUCGUAGCCGGACUCAUCAUAUAUAUAUAUAUAUAUAUGUAUAUAUACAUAUAUAUAUAUGUAUAUAUACAUAUGUAUAUAUACAUAUAUAUAUAUAUAUGUAUAUAUACAUAUGUAUAGAGUAGGGCUAGAAUACUUGUAAAAGUAUCAUGGGGGUGAUACUUGUAUGUUUUUAGCCCUUGGAUGGAGAGAUGUGAGUUUGAGAUGAUGGUGGUAGGUGGUGGUAGGUGGUGGUAGGUGGAAUAGUGUUUAAUCCAAUGACUAUUAAUAAUCAAAAAGUAGAUCCAAUGGCUUAAAACCUAAUAGCACCAUGAUGGUGAUACUUGUAAAAGUAUCAUAGCUCAACUCGUUAUAUAUAUAUAUAGUGCGUCUGGUAUACUUCUGGAAGCACGGAGCGCUUCGUACUUUCAAGUUGUUUUCGAUGUUCGGACUUUCGAAUUAACGAUCGGCUUCGUUAGACUUGAUCUAGAGUAUUUGAAGUAUUUAGAAAAUAAAUUUUGCAAUUUUUCGAUAUCAUUUGCCUAGUGAUCAAAGUGGCUCAAAAUCAACGGCUGAAAAUAAAAAUCAUACAAUAUGAUGAUAUGACAUUAAAAUUUUAGAUCGAAGUUAUUGAUCUUGUUUUAUACUGUAUAAAGAAUUUUCUAUCAAAAUUUCAUGUGAUUUGGAUAUUUCUACACCGUUAAACUUGCAAAUGGCUCACCACAGCCGUUAAAAUUAUUGAUUUUGAGCCCCUUCGAUCACUAGGCAAAUGAUAUCGAAAAAUCAUAAAAUUUAUUUUCUAUGUACUUCAAAUACUCUAGAUCAACUCUAAUGGAGCCGAUCGUCAAUUCGAAAGUCCGAACAUCGAAAACAACUUGGAAGCACGGAGGGCUCCGUGCUUCCAGAAGCAUACCAGCCCUCUCUCUCUCUCUCUCUCUCUCUCUCUCUCUCUCUCUUUAUAUAUAUAUAUAUAUAUAUAUAUAUAUAUAUAUAUAUAACGUACAGCUAGUAUACUUUUAGAAGUAUAAGAGAGUUUGUGCUUUCAACUUUUAAGUUCUUGGAUCAAUCUCUUUGACUAUUUCUGAUAUUUGAAUUAAUAUUAUUAUCUUAGGGGGGGGACUACUCAACUCUAAGAGUUACCAAUAUCGUCACAAUCCUACAAUCCUUGAUCUAAGGGCUAAAACGUUGGAUGCACCAACUCCCUUAUUCUUUCGACAGUAUAGUAGUUCUACACUAUAUAUAUAUAUAUAUAUAUAUAUAUAUAUAUAGAGAGAGAGAGAGAGAGAGAGAGAGAGAGAGAGAGAGAGAGAGAGAGAGAGAGAGAGAGAGUCGGCUACUAUACUCUUAUGAGUAUGAUUGUCUUCGUUCUUAUAAGUCAUUUUCGAUGAUAGAGCUUUCAAAUCGACGAUCCAUAUCAUUAAACAUUAUCUAGAGCAUUUAAAAUUUUUAGAAAUUAAUUUUUUUAUUUUUUUGACAUUAUUUAUCUUAUGAUCAAAAGAUCUCAAAAUUAACAAAUUUUAACAGCUAGUAUGAAAUACUUACUAGUUUAACGGUGUAAAAGAAUCGGAAUCGAUUGAAGUUUUGAUAGAAAAUUCUAUUCACUAUCUAGAUAAAUAUCAACAACUUCAAUUUUAAAUUGAAGGAUCCGAUCAUCCAUUUUUAGGAUGUCGUUCGAUUUUGACCGUUCAUUUUUGUGUCUACUUGAUGUAUUUUAUUAUAAUUUUAAAAAAUUAUAAAAUUUAUUUUUAAGAAUUUUUAAAUACUCUUAGAUCAUAUUUAAUGAUGGAUCGUCGAUUCGGAAGCUUCAUUAUCGCAAACAACUGAUGAAUACGAAUGACUCUAUACUCGUAAGCGUAUAGUAGUUCUACUUUAUUUCUCUCUCUAUAUAUGUCCCAUCCCAAUAGUUCAUACACAUUUGUCAUUUACGCUGAAAAUGGUGUGAUCAUGUCUCUAUUGAAAAAUAGAAAAAAAGAAAAAGAAAAAGAAAAGGAAAGAGGUGUACACAUGUGGCCCACCAAGGUGCUCUAAUCAAAUGACCUCUAUGAUUGCCUUAUCUUUUGUCACUCCUAUGUAUCACUACUCCACACUCUUACUAGUACCCAACCCUUUGUCUCUAGCACUAAUCUCCCCUGUAUGUCAUUCAAAAUAUGACUUACUCAGGAGAAAGCAGUGCCUACUCCCUCUUUUAGCCAAACUCUAUGUAUGUGGCAUGCAUCAUCUCAUCCCCCAUUAAAUUAACAUGAAGUGGUAAUUUUAUUUUUAUCUUAUUUCAUGGAAAGAUUAAUAGUUCAAUUCAAAUUGGCGCUUUAAUUUCUUAAUCUUUCAGUGGAAAAGUUUGAAGAAACAGAAUCCUUUUUUUCCUUUUUGUUGAAAUGCUUUGUAAGUAGGAGAUGUUUCAAAACUAUUAACUUAGUUUCCUACGACAGCUAAAAGUUUUAUUCAUUGUAUUUGUUCACCGAUCGUACAACUUUUACUUCGUAAGUAAAAAAAGCUUCUCUAGCAACUGGUUAAUCAAAAGAAGAGUUUUAUACUAGAUUCUUGAUUUAUACUAGGUGGGUAUGAAAAUGAUUUUUUUACUUACGAAGUAAAAGUUGUACGAUCGGUGAACAAAUACAAUGAAUAAAACUUUUAGCUGUCGUAGGAAACUAAGUUAAUAGUUUUGAAACAUCUCCUACUUACAAAGCAUUUCAACAAAAAGGAAAAAAAGGAUUCUGUUUCUUCAAACUUUUCCACUGAAAGAUUAAGAAAUUAAAGCGCCAAUUUGAAUUGAACUAUUAAUCUUUCCAUGAAAUAAGAUAAAAAUAAAAUUACCACUUCAUGUUAAUUUAAUGGGGGAUGAGAUGAUGCAUGCCACAUACAUAGAGUUUGGCUAAAAGAGGGAGUAGGCACUGCUUUCUCCUGAGUAAGUCAUAUUUUGAANNNNNNNNNNNNNNNNNNNNNNNNNNNNNNNNNNNNNNNNNNNNNNNNNNNNNNNNNNNNNNNNNNNNNNNNNNNNNNNNNNNNNNNNNNNNNNNNNNNNNNNNNNNNNNNNNNNNNNNNNNNNNNNNNNNNNNNNNNNNNNNNNNNNNNNNNNNNNNNNNNNNNNNNNNNNNNNNNNNNNNNNNNNNNNNNNNNNNNNNNNNNNNNNNNNNNNNNNNNNNNNNNNNNNNNNNNNNNNNNNNNNNNNNNNNNNNNNNNNNNNNNNNNNNNNNNNNNNNNNNNNNNNNNNNNNNNNNNNNNNNNNNNNNNNNNNNNNNNNNNNNNNNNNNNNNNNNNNNNNNNNNNNNNNNNUUUUUUUUUUUUUUGUUUUUGUUUUUUUGUUGGUAGUAGAUAAAAUGUGUACGAACUCUUCUUAAUUCUCUCUCUUUGAUGUAAUUUAAUAUUUUAUUAAUUUAUAAGUGUGCACACAUGCUAACUUAAAGGCCCCAUCUUUUCCCACUUUUCCUACAAAAACUAUGUGAAAAAUGAAAAUAUAAUAAGAUUACACCACUGUUCCAAAAACCCACUUUUUUUUGUUUUUUGUUUUUUGAGAGAUAGGUAGCACGCUACCCGCUUAGUUUAUUUCAUUUAGAAAUAAACUUAGCUAGAAAUGUGAAUUAACUAGAAUUCGAACUUGGGUCUCGGGUACCAACCAUCAAGCCCUUUGUCAUUUGCUCUAGGGACGGUCGGUUCCAAAAACUCACUUUUAGUUGUAAUUCGUGCAGGUUAAAAACAUAUCCAGAAAAGAUUAAACCAAACAGAAUCAUAAAAUCCGACCCGACAAGCCCGACUCGACCCACAUAGCCUGUUAGAUCCGGCCCAAAUCCGGUUAACUGGGCUGGGUUGGUUCUGAAAAUUAAAUGCCCUGUAAACUCUGAGUUUGUCUUCUUUCCUCUUUUUUUUUUUCUUUUUUUUUUCUUUUUUUUUUUGAGAGAGAGAAAUAGAUAGUAUGCUACCCGAUUUAGAAAUAAACUUAGCUGAAAAUGUGAAUCAAUCAAGAUUCGAACUUGAGACCUCGGUUACUAACCAGCAAGCCCUUUACCACUUGCGCUAGGGACGGUCGGUAACUCUAAGCUUGUCUUCAUUCUUAGUUACUUCUAACUUUUAAUUUUAUUGAUAAUAAUGUUGAUAAUGACAAAUAAAAAAAGAAAAGAGAAACCAAAAUCACGGGUGUUUUCGAAAAAAUGAUAGUAGAGUGUUGAGAUCCUAUAAACUUUAGCUCUUUUGCAAAACAGGCAUUUGAACCGUCAAUUUUGGCAAUUACAUCUUCUAAACUUUAUUAAAUAAUUCAAAAGGCUUCUCUUCAUAAAUAAAUUUGCUAAUUAAAUAACUAUUUUGAUUGGAUGUUGCGCACAUAAUUUUGUAAGAUUUUAAAAUAUAAAAAUUCUUUUUUUUUCUCCCUCAAUUUUAAUAAUUAAGCUUGGAGAUUGCAAAAUUGGUUAAACCAAACUUUAAUUUUUAACACUUCUUUUAUAUGUUAGAAUUUUAAAAAAUAAUUUUUUUGUGUUGUAAAGCUUUAUAACUACAUAGAACCAAAAUAAUUGUGUAAUUAAUAAUUUUAAUUGAGGAGAGCAAUCUAUUGAAUUAUUUGAUAAAGUUUAGAAUAUACAAUUGCCAAAAUUGAAAAUUCAGACGCCAAUUUACAAAAAAGCUAGAGUUGAGGGAGUCUCUCUAUACACUUUAUCCUAAACUGUAACUGAGUUUUUGAGAAACAAGUUAUAAUAAUCGUGCCAUGCACAUCAUAAUCUUAAAUUAAAGUGUAAUUGAGUUUUUGAGAAACAAGUUCUAAUACACGUGCGAUGCACAUCAUAAUCUUAAAUUAAACAUUAAUUUUAAGUUAGAAUAAAUUGUGAAUCUGUAUUUUGAAUUUAAAUGGUUAUUGGUGGCAGAGUCUAUUUUUUAAUUAAUUUAUUUUGUAAAUUUGACUUGUUUCUAGCUAUGUUUCUAAAUAUUUUUUAUAUGCGUUCCAUAACAAAUAAUUUUUUUAAAUACAUACCCAAAAAUUUAAAUUUAAUUUUGAAUUCAUUAUGUAAAUUUAAAUAAUUAUUGAUUUGACAAGUCUAUCUUUAAACCAUUCUUUUUUUUUUCAGACCUAAUUUAUUUUUAGUUAUUUAAUUAUUUAACUUUUUUUUUUGUAAUGUGUACCAAAAUGGUUUUUUAUUCAGAUUUUGCCGAUCAACUUAAGAUUUUCAAUCGACUUUUAUAUAUAGUAUAAAAGAUAGUAUAGAUAUCGAUAUGGAUGAUUAGUACAAGAAUGAUCCAGACUGUCUUGGGCUUUAAUUUUUGGGCCUUUCUAGUCCCAGGUCUAACAAUCAGACUGAAGAAAGCUUGGGCCAGGCCUAUGAGUUGCCUUUGCAGUUGCUCUCUCUCUCUUUCUCUCUCUCUUUCUUGGCUGAAAUACAGAAAAUUCUCUGUAAAUACUUUUGUUUUUAUUUUCUUUUACUAACUUUUAAAAACCUAUAUUUUAUCUCUCAAAAUUUCAUGUUGAUGCUUUUAGCCCCCUCCAUUCGGGUUCUGUCACUAUGUCGUCCAUUUCUUUUAAUUUAUACCGAAAUUACCCUAAAAAAUUACAUAAAUAUACUAAAAAAUAUAUUUUUUUAUAAAAUAAGUAAGGAUAAUUUGAUCAUUUUACUCUAUCCGUUCAUGCCGAAACUCUUUAAAAAUAUUUCUGAAAUUUUACAAGGGCAAAAUGUAGAUUUUUAUAAGUUAUGAGGGAAAAAUAAAAUAACGGGUAUUUAUAGGAGUGUUUCUGUAUUUUAUCGUUUGUUUUUUGGAGAAUGCAUUAACGAAAGGUGCCCGUAGACCGGAUUGGAUUUGGAUAGUUGAUAUACUGUACUCGUACUUUAAAAAGAAAUGGUUAGAAAAAAAAAAAGUAUACCUUACCUAUUUAACUUUAGGUCGGGUCCAAGUUUGAGUACUUAAAUUAUUAAUUUGUCCAUCGACUUUAUUUGAGCUGGUCUGGGUAAUGACUAUCUGUAUACUACCCGUUCAAGAUCGGGUACGAGUCGGGUCUAAAUCGAAUACGAGUAUUCAUAUACAUAUAUUUUUUUAUAGAUUUUAUUAAAUAGUCUGUGGACAAAUUAUAAAUCUCCCCCUAUAGAGAAAAUAUAAGUUGUAUUAAUUACUAAUAUUAUAUACCAACAUUCAAAAAAAAUAAAGAGGAAUCAGAAAAUUUACUAAAUAAAAUAUUCAUUAAAAAAACUAGGUUGUCGACUAUAAUUGGAGUGGGGAUUUGGAAAAACCUCACUCGUGCCACGCUUGUAGAGGAUUAAUAUCGCUGAUGAUUACGACGAUGAAAAUAUUGUUUCAUAAAAAAUUCGUAGGCGGAAAUGCAAUAAAAAAAUAAAAAGUAAAAAACAAAGAAUAAAAAAAUUAGAAAAAAGAAAGGAGUAAAAGAGCGGCUAGAGUAUCAGCAUUUCAUGAGGAUGAAAAUACUUAGAGACCCCUCGUUUAUAAGUCCUAUUAAAAUUGAUCCCUCAACUUCAAAAGUUCAAAUUUAUUUUAUUUAUUAUCGGAUAUUUUAUCAGGUCCAGUCCGGAUCGGGAUUUAAAAACUAUUCCGGACCUUACCUAUUUAAAAUUUGGUUCGGGUCGGGUCCAAAUCGGGCCGGUGUGGGUGUAAAAUAUCCGGACCCAUACCCAAAAUUUUAAUGGGUAAUUUUUUUUACCCGAAUUCUAUUUAUUUUUUAUCGGGUCCGAUUCGAGUCCAGAUAGGAUCCGAAUAGGGUCCGAAUCGGGUAUAAUAUAUGGGAUAUUUUGGACAGCUGUAGCCGUAAUCAUCUAUCUAUCUAUGUAUAUUAAACCUGAAAACCGGGGCACGAGCCUCACAUUUACACACAAACACACACUUACACGCACACACACGGAGACUCGACUACUGAACUCAGGAUAGGCUACAUAUAUGGCGCCUUAUUACUAGACUACUUAAAAAUUAAAAUUUACCAUACUUCGUAGAUGCGAAAAUGGAACUACUUAGGUAAAUUAUUCUUUUCUCUCUAAAAGAUUAAACAGGUGGAGAAUAAUUCUACUACUAAUAUUAUGUAACUAUGUUCACACUGAGUCCUUUGUUAUGCAUUAAUUAUUUUAUUAACCAGUAUUGCUAGAACACUACUUUAUGUAGGCAAUACUUUUGAUAAUGUAUAUUAUUCUUCUCAUUCUUCCGAAUACCGUAUGUUUGACAUGUAUCGCUUUCGAAAAAGAUCAAGUUACGCACUUUAUAUAGAACUAACAGCAUCCAAUCAAGCACUCAAAAUACGUUUUUCCAGCGAUUCAUCUAAAGGUGCACGCGAGCUUAUUUCGACUGAUCGAUACCCCAUAUGGAUCUAUCGAAGUAUUCGGAAAUAAGGACACUCGAGAUUUCAUCAACUUAUGCUUAUGGAUUUAGUAUUUUCCUUUCUUUUAUGUAGCUAGAGGCUCGAGGUGCGACAUACGGAUCUAAAUUCGAGUAAUCAUAUUGUAAAGUAUUGUUAUGACAAUGCACUAGUCCAUUUUAGCUCUAUUCGAGGCAAAGUUGUAAUCUCCAGUAAGCUUAUUUUUGGUCGACAUUAAGUUCAAAAUUAAUUUCCAAGAACUUUUUACCAGCUACAAAAAAGAACAAAGUUUAUGUAUGUUUAUAAUCUUAACUACAUUUUUGUGGAGCCUAUCGAUUGCGUAAGAAUGAAUCUUUACAAGAACUCAUUGAAUUAGCUCAGACUCUUCGAUCCCUGCCUAAGAACUAGUUCGUAUAAUCAAUCGGUUCGAGUAAACACAUAUUACCAUUCAAUGUUUUUUUUAACUUUGCAUGCAAAUUUAAGCUGUUAGGUUUCGAGGGUUUCCUUCGUUUGGUCGACAAAGAUGUAGUAGAGAAUAUGGCGAUCAGAUUACGUUCGUAAGAAACAUAAGCCUACUACUGUACAAGGUUCCCUCUAGUUUCUCGCGUAGGGAGAGUCGAAUGUACGUGACUUUCACUUUGUUUCUGGAGGCCACAAAAGUGCAAUUAUGGCUUUCCCUGGAUUUCUUAGGAUAUCGCCGUAUCGAGGUACCUGUUUAAUAAGCGGGUCGUCUUCGCGUAAGGGAACCUUGUUCCGAUUAUCAAACAGCUCGCUCGUAUUUGGAUCGAUUAGACAACUUGGAAACUCGUGAUUGAUCUCGAUACCAAUUAAGACAGUUUGGUUUCUCUACAAAUGUUUCUCGAUCGAGUCUCAUUACCGCGCGGAUUUACAACUCUAUGAUCUUAUCUGUUACAUCAAGCAAUGGUCCCUAGAGUGUGUAUUGGCUUUACACUACUGAUGCUGACAAUAAGUUGGUACUAAUCAACCAAUCAUAAAGUAAAUGAAGAUUAAUUCUUCUGUACAUAUUUUUCAGUAACCUUUUAAUCAAUGUGACUUUAUUAGUUUCUGAUGAACAACACAGCGAUACACGUAAAAAUUCUCUCAACAGAGCUGGUGACAUGAUGAUAGUUUAAAUCAUAGAAUACUCUUCCUCGUCUCCGCGUCUCGUAUCGCUGUCGAUUCUGCAGAGAAUAUCUUCAGAGAAGAGAUGCAUGGCUUCAUACGUUAUUUAAUUACAAGUGGUUCGAUUUUUUCAUUCAUCACUCUUUUCUGUAUGAUAUCGACAACUGCGCAUUUGAAUAAGUCGUGUUUUAGAUCACAACUACUAUAUUUGUAGACAUCGACAAAACUCUACAUUAUUUAACAUAUUCUAAGUAUGUUAUAACCAUAUCUGCUAAAACUCCUUACAAUAGCAAUGUUUCUUUACUGAGUAACCUUGUUUUUAGUUGUGAGAGAGGAUUAUUUUGGUGGAUAAUUUGUGCGUAAAACAAACAUGAUUGUAUCUUUACUCAUACAAUCAGUAGUGAACAUUGCUGCAUCUUUUCCUUUUUCAUAACUGAAUCAAAGAUAUAUAUUUUCCCCUUCAUUAAAUCAUGCUUAAAAUUUACCACAACCAUUUAACCAAAACAUAUAUAAAAUUGUCCACCCCUAAUUCUACUACCCAUUACCCUAUACACAUACAUAUAUUUUUUUUGCUCCUAAUUGUUCAUGGGAGUAUAUAUUCUUUUACUAAACGGCGAAAAAAAGAAAAAAGAAACAAAAGAAUCAUGCAAACAUAAAAUUUAACCUUCCCUAGCACUAAAUUAUACCCCCCCCCUACUCUUUUCUCUGGUUUCUUCUGUAUAUACAGCUAAAGAUGAUCAGAAAUUCAAAACGGUGGCAAGUUCAUAGUUUGGUUCGAGUUCGGCUUCGGCGAACUGAGGCCCGGGAAGUAGAAGCUCGGGUUCGACAUGUCGAAGGUCGGCGUCGGCGUCGCGGGUCCGAAGCCGGUGUAGGCGCUCUGCAGAUCAUCCAGGUUCAGGUCCAUGAACCACUCGCUGUCCUCCUUGAUCUGGCACACUUCGGUGGACUGGUGGUUCGGGUAGGCCUCCGGCCUAGCCGCCGCCUUGUCGAACACGUCGUUGUCGAUGUCCGACUCCGGCGUCCGGAAGCUGUUCGACCCCGAGUCGUCGGUCGAGUCGGUCGUCAUCAUCGAGGCCUCCUCCUUCUGGCUCUGCAUCUUCUCCCAGCUGUUCUUCUUGUUGUACAGCCGGCACAGCACCCAGUCGUCCAGCUGCGCGAAUUUUAGAGCAGAGCAGCAGAAGUUAGAAUCCGACACGCAAGGAAUUUAAAAAUUCUUGAAAUUUGAAAUUUGAGAUUUGAAAUUUGAGAUCUGAAAGAGGGCGGGGCGUACUCUGAGGCUUCCUUUCUUGUUGGGGGAGCGGGAGGUGUCGGCGAGGCGGUACUCGUGCAUGAUCCAGUCGGUCUUGGCGCCGCGGGGGGCCUUGCCGGAGUAGAAGACGAGGGCUUUCUUGAUCCCGAGGGGGCGGUGGGUCCCCUUGGGCACGACGGGCUUGUCGGCCCCCGUCGCCUUCCAGUAGCCCCUCCCGGCGGCGCGGUUCGGCCGCGACCCGUUCGGGUACUUGCGGUCGCGGGGGGUGAAGAAGUACCACUCCCUCUGCCCGAAUAAUGCCUUCUCUGCUCACAAAACACACAUAACUGUCAAAUUCAAUUCAAACGCGCGAAACAGAAAUUUAUUUAUUUCACAGAUACAGAGACACAUAACAACAUAUAUGUCGCGCAAAAUCUGCUUCGAGAUCCGCAACCCCCAGCCGCCGGGGAGAAUGCGCACGGAUCUCGAAGCAGAUCCGACCGGGAGGCAAGAGUUCUUCUAGCUGAUCGAUCUAAUCUAACGUUCGGGAAUAUUAUUCGGGCGCCCAUCGGAUCCGCUUAAAAAUCCGUGCGCACUCCCUGUAGAGAUAUGCGCGAAUCCCAAAGCGGACAAUAGAAUCCGCCUCGGGAUCCGUACGAACUUCCCGAGGUAGUACUGUGCGAAUCUCAGUUGCUGUUGUUGUUGUUGUAUAUAUUUUAGAAGUAAGCGAGCAAUGGCUUGCGCGCGCUGCAAAAUGUGCGAGAUGAUUUAUUUACCUGGGAGCUCCCAGGGGUCGUACUUGUAGAGGUCGACCUCGGCGAUGAUCGGCACGGGGAGGCGCUCGUACGCCGCCUUGCGGCACAGGUAGUGCACCACGAGCUCCUCGUCCGUCGGGUGGAACCGGAACCCUGGCGGCAGGUUCAGCUCCGCCUCCGCAUCCCUCGUCCUCCUCGCCAAUCCCAUCGCGAAAAUUCCCGAGCCAAAACUCAGACCGCUGCUUUUCGCAGAAGCAGAAGCAGAUGCAGAUGCCGCAGCCGAAGAAGAUUUUCCUUCCUUUUUUUUUUUUUUUUCCGAGCUUAUGUUUCUUUUGGGGACGGGAAUUGUUUAGGAGACUCGAGUGGGUAUAUAUAUUAAUAUAUAUAAGAUAUAAGAUAUGUAAUAUAUGUGUUGGGUGGGGUUUCGUUAUUGGGCGGUCGUGGGCCCCACCGUCGCUCGUGGGCGCCGGGAAACUUCGCUGCGGACGAAAGCAGUCAAACCUGGGAGUCGGCCAACUGUUACUGGUCCGACCUCGGGGGAAUUCAUCGACCGGGCGUCCGCAUACCACGUCUUAUGCGGGAACAGGCUCUUUCUGUUGUGUGUUGAGUGUGGAAAAUAAAAUAUUAAAAGUUCGGCCGUCCCUAGCGCAAGUGGGAAAGGACUUGGUAGUUGGUAUUCGAAAUUCAAGUUCAAAUUCUAAUUGAUUCACAUUUCCAGCUAAAUUUAUUUCUAAAUAAAAUAAACGAAGCGGAUAGCGUGUUACCUAUCUCUCUCAAAAAAAAAAAAUAUCGUUCUCCGAAAGCUUACAUUUUUUAAAAAUAAAAAAAUUUGAAUUUUUGAAUCUUCUCGAGUUUUUGGUCUCUAUAUAAUUUAAGUUCACAUAUUAGACCUAUACAAAAUAUAUUAAACCUGGAUGAUUUGUAGCAUGUGUUUUUUUCGUGUGAUUUGAGAUCUUACAACGUGCACAAAUCAUUCAAAUUUCUGUACAUUAUACUAAUCUAUAAAUCAAUAAUAUGUAUAAAAAAUAAUAUUUUAGAAUAUUGUAGCAAGUGUGGGGUUAUUAUACUAUUAGAAGCAUAUACUUUUAACUUUUGGACUUUUUAGAUUCCUAGGGUUUAUUUGCAGGCGAUGAUAAUAGUAAGGAUCAAAGAGUCCAAAAUUUAAAAUCGGUACUUCUAAAAGCACCGUAGCUCAGCUCCUGCAGCAAUGAUCGCGAAGAAAGCCUUCUCCCUAACAAAAGCAGCAUUUGCGAAAUGUAAAACUAAUAAAACACGACAAAUGAGCAUUAAAAGAUUGGCUGGCCCUACUAUUGGGUAUAAUAUUAUUUGAUAGCCUUACUUUUUGGGUAUAGUAUUAUUCGAUAAAAUUAAUGCUGUGAAAAGCGCCAGUUCGAAAAAAAAUUGUUCAAAAUACUGCAAACAACAUCACUAUUAGCAGACUCAUGCUACCUUUCUUGCUCAAAAAAAAAAAAAAAAAAGAAGAAGAAAACAAACAUCACAAUUCACAAACUUUCUUUAUCAAAAGAGAAAACAAACAUCAUAAUUUACAAACUCAAAAACUUAAAGAGAAGCUUUUCUUGGGCCAAAAUCUUUCUACUGUAGUGAAAAAUUCAAGAAUUUUUUAUUUAUUUUGUAAUAUUGUACAAAAUAGAAGUAAAAGAAUGACCAAACAAGCACUAAUUUUUUUUGUACACUUAAUCAUACAAUAAAAUAAUUAAUACAUUUUAGUCUGCACUAAUUAUUGAUUCGUUUUCUUUGAUGUUAUGUUAACUAAUUUAAAUCGGUAACUUGUACAGCAGAUUUCUUUAUGUAAAAUUUAACUACAUUUUUUUACUAAUUAAUAAGAAUCAAUUUCUUACAGGUCACUGCAAAUAUAGUAAAUUAUAAAUAUAUUUCUACAAAGUUCAACUUUCAUAUGUUAUUCCUACAAAAAUUUUAAUAUUUUUAAAUAUAUUCUUCUAAUUUGUUACUGCUAAAAUACUGUCUAUUUUAUAAAUAAAAUGAACUUUUUGUCAUCAUAAUUUUGUCCCUCCAAAAAUCCCAAAUGUUAAUUAAAGAGAAAAAAAAAGGCUAGUUCAUCUCAUUAACUAAUCAGAAUUAAGUAUUUAGUCUAUGAUUAAUUAAAAUUUUCUAACGAAUUCUAAUGACAGAAACAUUUGAAAAUUUUCGAACUUUUACAGAAACAAUGUAUAAAAGUUAAACUUCAUAAAAAUAUCUAUAAUUUAUUAUAUUUACAGAAACGUGUAUGCAAUUAAAUCUAACAAUUAAAAUCUUAAGUUAUGACCCUAGAGAUACUAACGAGGAUUGCACAGAAACAUUUAUGCGCACGCUUGUUGAAUAUAAUAAUGACAUUUAAUUAAUUCGGCGCAGAGGAGAUACACCUCCCCACGUUGGAAUGUUGCUAAUUAAUUAAUUCUUUAAUUAAUUUUUAUUAUUUUAUUAAAGCGCACGUGAUGGUUUGAUUUGAUCCAUUGAACCGGGAGAAAAACCGAUGGGUACAUCUGAGAGAGGGGGGGGAGAAAAAGCUGACGGUGACGUCAGCGAGGACCGGAGAUGACGUAAGUGCCGACGCUCGCGCACAUGGGGUGGGAUUUUCGAUCUUAUCGGAAUGGGUUUCGGGUCGCUUCGGCGGCGCCCGACUCCUGUUCGCAUUCAAGGGGUGGUCUCACUUCCACUCUUGGUCUUUUAUGUGAAUUAUUAUUAUUAUUAUUAUUAUUAUAUUACAUAUUUCUUGGUGCCCAAGGAACCUUUAUAAGUGGCUUCGGAUUAAGAUGAAUGUGUUCAAGGUCUUCGUGGUUCGACCUAAAAUCAUAAAAAAUAACAUAUUACUUUCAGUACAUGUGGUAAAAAUUUAGUGGUUGAUUUUCGAAAUUUCAAGUUUAAAUUAUUUUUUAGUUAAAUUUAUUUUUUAAAAAAAUAAACGAACCGUUAACAUGUUAUCUUUUUCUAAAAAAAAUAUCAUGAAAAAUAAUCUUUCAUAAAAAAUAUUUCGGUGAAAAAAUGGUUUAUGAUUUAUAGCGUUUGAUUUGUAAGAAAAGAAAUAAUUUUUUUUAUCAAUAUUUGUUUGGUUGGAAGAAAAAAAAACACUCGUUCCGUUUGGUGAAAAAAUGAAUAAAAAAAUAUUUACGCGAUUUGUGUUUUUUUGUUCUGCUGAAAAAUAGCAAAAAAAGAAAGCUUCAUUUUUUUUUUCCAAAUCAGUAAAAAUAUUUUUACUGACAAAUAUUUUUUAUAAAUAAUUUUUUGGUUUGUAUUGGGCCCAACCAAAUGCCCCCUAAUUGCUUACAUAUUUUUGAAAAAAAAUAAUUUUUUUUAUUUAUUCUAUUUAGAAGGCUAAUAUAAAAAAUAUUUUUUUAACGUUUUAAGUUUUUUUUCAAAUAUACUUUUUUAGAGUUAGAUUCUAAUAGUGAACUAAUAGAAACAGUUAUUAUCGCUAUAAAAUUUCUAUUUUGGCCUUAAUUUCAAAUAUAUCUUUUAUUGUCAUCAUCUUUUUUUAUUUGUGCUAAAGUUAGGGGCAAAAAANAGAAGGCUAAUAUAAAAAAUAUUUUUUUAACGUUUUAAGUUUUUUUUCAAAUAUACUUUUUUAGAGUUAGAUUCUAAUAGUGAACUAAUAGAAACAGUUAUUAUCGCUAUAAAAUUUCUAUUUUGGCCUUAAUUUCAAAUAUAUCUUUUAUUGUCAUCAUCUUUUUUUAUUUGUGCUAAAGUUAGGGGCAAAAAAAAAUAUUUUGACUUUUUGUCCUUUCAAAUAUAUUUUUUUUACCCUCACUAAUUUUUUCUUAUUUGCCCUUCAAUUAAGGAUAAAAUAGAUAUUUUAACUUUUUUUUAACUCUCGUAGAAAUUUAAUCUGGAUUUAACCCAAGAUGACUUAACGGGUAUUAACAACAGGCUUAUUUUUUAAUAAUAGAAAAAUAUACGAGUGAAAUAUUUGAACCAAAAAAAGUAGGAAUAUAUAAAAUAUUUCAAAAAUUUUGAGGGGUAUAUAGAUAAUUAUUCUAAAAUAAAAGGGUUGAAAUAAAAAAAUCUCAUAAAUAUUUUUUAUUUUUAAAAAUCUAUAUUUUACUAACUCAAAAUUUUAAUUAAUACAUUUAGCCCUGUGUGUCAGGAUUCCAUCACUAUUCCGUCUAUUUUUUAUAAUUUAUACUAAAGUUACUAUUUCAAAUAAUUAAAAUUUAUUAAAGAUUUAUAUUUUCUUAUAAAAAAAGAAUAAUUUGAUUAUUUCGUCAUGUUCGUUAACGUCAUAAUUCCUUGAAAAAAAUUCUGAAAUUCAAAUCGAGCAAAAUUUAAUUUUUUCAAAGACAGAAAGAGAAAGUAAAAAUAUAGAAUUAAUAGGUACAAAAAAGUUUAUGUGUUUUAGCCAAAUAAAGAAUCCUUGUUUUUUUUUGUGUAGAGAGAAAGAUAACAUAUUAUUUCUUUCGUUCAUAUUUUUUUUUUAAAAAAAAGACGCAACUAAAAAUAUAAAACAAUUAGACUUCAAAUUUAAAAGUUCAAAUGCCAACUUCGUAGCAUGAACUCAACCUCACUUUAAAAAUAAAAAAAGGAAAAUAAAUUAUAAACUAAUAAAAUCUAAUUUUUUAAAAUCAGAUGGUGAUCAUUAGUGAAAAUAUGCUAAAUCACAUGACCUUGCCAUCUAGUUUUAAGCACUAAUUAUUAAAGUACAUAAAACGGUUGAUCUUCUAUUCUCCAUGUACAUCAAAACAAUCAAUAGUUAGAGAGAUCACUAUGCACCUUCUCUUUUUUUUUUUUUCCCCUUUUUUCGCUAGCGUUAUUAACAGACCUGAAAUUUAUCAUAUUUACUCAGCUCAUUCUGUAUAUAAUAAUUUUAGCCCUGUUAAUAUUACUAUCACUUUUUUUUUCUCCUUUUUAUCUUGGGCUUUGGUUUGAAUAUUUCUAUCUCAUUAAUGUUUGGAGCAUCAUAGGUUUGAGUACCAUGUUAGAGCGCAUAUAUAGUUAUAUAUAGCGUCAAGCGCUUGACGCUACUGAGUUUUCUAUCGUUAGAUUUAACUCUUUGACUAUUUUUAUCUGUUAGAUUAUACUAUUCAAUCAAUAACUCACUCAAUCCUAUGGGGCCCACAUCAUCGUAACCAUACAUUUUUUUAUUUAAGGGCCGAAAACCUAAUAGCACCAAGCGCUUGAUGUUAUUGAUAGUAUUCCAUGCCUAGUUCUAUAUAUAUAUAUAUAUAUAUAUAUAUAUAUAUAGAGUAGGGUUACUAUACUAUUAUGAGUAUAGAGCCUUUCGUACUCAUAAGUUGUUUUCGAUAUUAAGGUUUUUGAAUCGACGAUCCACACCGUUAAAUAUGAUCUAGAGUAUUCGAAACUUCUAGAAAAUAAAUUUCGUAAUUUUUCGAAAUCAUUAUAAAGUCCAUCAAGCAGGUAUAAAAUAAACGGUCAAAAUUGAACGACAUCCUAAAAAUGGAUGAUCGGAUCCUUCAAUUUAAGAUCGGAGUUAUUGAUCUUUAUUUAGGUAGUGGAUAGAAUUUUCUAUCAAAAAUUCAAUAUAUUCUGAUUCUUUUACACCGUUAAACUAGCAAAUAUUUCAUACCGACCGUUAAAAAUUGUCAAUUUUGUGAGUUUUUGAUCGUAGGGAAAAUGAUAUCGAAAAAUUAUAAAAUUUAAUUUUUAGAAGUUUUAAAUGCUUUAGAUAAUGUUUAACGGUAUUGAUCGUCGAUUCGAAAGCUCUAUCAUCGAAAACAAUUUAUGAGUACGAAGUCGAUCAUACUCAUAAGAGUAUAGUAGCCGGUACUAUAGUGUUUGUUUUCAAUCUUAGGGUGUUCAAAUCAACGAUCCACACCGUUAAAACUGAUCUAGGGUAUUUAAAGUUUCUAGAACUAAAAUUUUAUAUUUUUUCGACAUAGUUUACCUUAUGAUCAAACUAUUUCAAAAUUGUCAAUUUUCAAUGGCUAUUAUGACGAGUUUGGAGUUUAACGGUGUAGAAGAAUCUAAAUUUCUUCAAAUUUUGAUAGAAAAUACUUUAAACUAUAUAGAUUAAGGUUAACAUUCUUGAUCUUGAAUUUAAAAGUCCUAUGCUCAAAUUUUAAAGAUUAUUCAAUUUCCACCGUCCAUUUUGAUAUAAUUUAUUUACUAAGUAAACGAUAUCGAAAAAAACUAAAAUUUUAUUCCUAAGAAAUUCAUAUACCCUAGAUCAUAUUUAACGGUGUGGAUCGUUGAUUUGAACACCCUAAGAUCGAAAACAAACACUAUAGUACCAGAGCUCAGUACUAUAGAUAGUAUAGUAGCCUAAAUAUAUAUAUAUAUAUAUAUAUAUAUGCCAAACUUAGGCAAACUAGGCUUAUCAGAGCAUGUGUGUUUACUUGUCGCGAGGGAUGCUGCGAUUAGAUUUUUCCAUUCCUUGUGGAAAAUGAUGUUACGUACGAAAAUGAGGAACAUAUAUAAAAUGCAACUCAUGCUUUUUAGUUAGAUAUCUUUUUCCCUCCCAGUUGAUAGUAAUGUACAACAAAUAGAAGAUGUACAUUGAUGUAUAUUUAUGCAGCCUUUUUUCAUUUUUCUCUUUUUCUUUUUUUUUUUUCCUUCUCUUCCCUUAGGGGAGGUGCUUGUUUUUCUUGGAAAAUUACAAAUGUUUAUUACUUAAAAAAAUUAUGAAAAUUUUGUCAAAAGUAUAGCACUGUUUUUUCAUAAAAUUAGAACAAAAAAUUUUGAAAAUUUUUUUUUUUCUUCUAUGAACGAAAUAACCAAAUAAACUUUUUCGGUUAAAAAAUUAAUUUUUUAAAAUAUAUUUUAAUUGGGAAACCCAGCAACCUUGUACUAAGUGAUUCCGCUUCUCUUCUACCUCUAAUUAAUGCUCCAACUUUGUAUUUUGUUGAGCAAUACUAUUUAUACACUCCAAAUUAAGAAAGUGUAUAUUAUACAUCUCACUUAUGAAAUGAAUAAGAUUUUUUUUAUUUAUCAAAUGAUGUGAUAAAUAAAAAAAUCUCACCCAUUAGAUAGAUGAAUGUAAAUCAUACAUUCCGAAAUGAGCUGUAUAGAUAGCUUUUUUCUAUUUUGUUUACGCAAAAGACAUGGAGCAAAAAUCAUAUACAAAUUUAACAUCUAAAUAUAUAUUAAUAAUAACAGUCACUAGUUGGCUUAAUAGUUAAUUAUUUGGGUACGUAGCGGAGUUCAUUCUCUUGAGUAUCCAAUUUAAAAAAUUGAGAGCGUUCCCAAAAACGUCUAUUAAAAAGGAACACAUGAUCUCACAAAAUAGAAAAAGUUUUGAAACAACUCUAAUACAACAUUACCUAAAAAAUUAAUCUGGUAGAAAAUAUCCUAUAAAUAUAUUUAAUUAACAAGCGUUUUAGAUGGUAAAAGGCCUCAAUUAGGGUCUUUUCUAUUAUCGAACCAAAGGCUCCAUUAAAAUCAAUCCUUGUAAUUGUAUUUAACCUUUAGGACGCGUUUGGUUCGCACUAUGAAAGAUUAUUUUGAGUAAAAUGAUAUCCGAGAAUCUUAUUCCUAUUCAUCCUAUUACUGGGAAUAUAGUAUUUCGGUGUUUGGUUCGUAUGAUCAUAUUAUUUAGUCAAUAUUAUUUAACAUUACGAAAAAUAUAUAAUUAAUUAAUUAAUUUUUUAAAAUUAAUUUUAAAUAAUACUAUAAAAAAAUUUCAACAUCUUUUUAGAAAAGACAGAGAGAAUAUAGAUUAGAAAGAGAAAGCAUAAUUAAAGAAAUAGGAAGAGAAAUAGAGUCGAGAUUAGAGAGAAUGAGAGGGUUAAGAUUUUAGAAAAAGAGGGAGAGAAAUAGCUUAGUUUAGAGAGAGAAAAAGAGUUGAAGUUUAGAGAGAAAAAGAUAAGUUUAGAGAAAGAUACGAGAUUAGAGUGUAAAGAAAAAUAAUACCAACUAGCCGACGGAUAAGAGAUUAAGCAUAUUCUAAUUACCCCAAUCCAUUAAUAUAAGAAUACCCACUCUCGGUCAAAAGAAUGAGAUUAGUACUUUGGGAUAUAUCUCAUAUUCCAAAUAAAUUCAAUAUUACCAACUAGAUUACUUAGUGCGUUUAGCCAAAUACUGUCAUAUUUUUUUUAUUUCUGUUGGAUUACUAGGAAUUUUAUAAAGAUAGCGCGAACCAAACGCACCCUUAUGAACACAUUUUAAGUGACCCUAUUUUUAAGUAAAUACAUUUGUUCAUUUAGACAUUUUCAAACGGCUAAAUUUGUGUAGAUUUAAUGCAUCUUAUGUCCUAAUGUACGUGUUCCAACAUUCUUCGCAAAAUUUCUCUAUCCUCCUAAGAUAUUUUAGGCUAAUGUACGUGUUCCAACAUUCUCCGCAAAAUUUCUCUAUCCUCCUAAGAUAUUUUAGGGAAAUAUCUUCUAAGCAUGACUUGUUUAACGAGGCUUAAUUAACUAGUCAGCUAAAUCGGUACUGAUCUGAAAGAAAAUAAUUCAGAAAUACAUUUUCAGAGAAAAAGACCUCAAUUAUGGUUAGUUUUCUUUUGUCUCUUCUUUAUUAUUGAUCAAAGUAUCGACGAAACUAAAUUUUCGUAAUGUAGUUAACUAUUACAAAUAUAUGUCUACAGAAUUUUGCAGUAAUGUUUGGAUACGCAGCCAUAAAACUUAGUAGUGUUUUGGGGGUUGGAGGGGAGACUGACUAAUGGAAGAAACCCAAUUCCAAACGUUCGAGAAUUUUGAGUGAAUUUUAUUUCACCUUUAUCUUUUGUCCCAUGUGUUAACUUACUCUAUUUUUAAUGUUAAAACAUUUUUAGAAAGAUUAAGACUUCGUUUUGAAUUGCGAAAAAAUUGCGUUACGUGCUGUCAGAAAGUACGAUAAAAAAAAAAAUCUUAUUUGUUUUCGUAUGUAAUAUUACGUUCUGAAUUUCGCGAUUAGUCUGUUACGAUAUAUUUUUCGCGGUCCCACUGAAGAACUCAAAAGUAUUUCUCUAUAUAUUUUUAUCCUAACUCUAUUUUAUUUAAUAGUGUUAGACAGAGCUCAAUAUCAAAUUAAACCUAAAUAGUUAUACUAUACUCUGUUUUAUGCUAUAUCCGAAAGGCAUAGUUUAAGUGAAACUACCAAUAGAAUUGAUUUUAAUAUUAACAAACAUAUUACUUAAUCUAAAUUUUAUAUAUCGUCCAAUUUAUUUAUAAAUUUAAUAAAUUUGACUUGUCCUGCUCUGUUGACGUCACAGUCCAAUAGUUUCCACUAAACUUCUACAACCUUCCUAGAAUUUUUAUUUUACUGGGGAAGUAUCUUCUAGAGAUGACUUAUUUAGCAAGCCUUAAUUACUUAUUUAACUAAUUAAUAAUUAGUCAACCUGGUACCUUCUCGAGUCAAAGCUCCAUUUACACUUUCCAAAACUCCAAAUUGUCCCCCACUUGUCGUCUUUUUAUUUUUCUUUUUCUACGGCGGCUUUGACAAAAUUACCCACCAACGACGCAUUCUGUCUCCUUCUGAAGCGUUGGAUUUGGAUUAGAUAUCAACAGGAAUAUCCUCAGUGCUCUUGUGUAUACGCUGGUACACAUACCUAAUCAUGUACCUGAUCGAUUCUGAAACUCUUAACUCGUUCUUCUAAUGAUAAGACAUUCGAAUCGAUGAUCUACUAAAUAUAAUUUAUAGUACAUAAGAUUGGUAGAAACUAAUUUAAAACUAUUCUAAAGAAUAACAAAAAAUCAGAUGUGACGCCUUGUUUUUACAAUUCUAGCCCUAAUACCUGUAAUUCUCUUAAUUAACCUCUCGAAUCUAACCACCACCCAAGAUGUUAUAGUCGGGUUAAGAAGUUUAAUCCUAUUGUACCUUAUUUAUACAACUAUUUUAAAUCCUCGGAGUGUUACAUUUUUUCUUUCUUUAAGUGUUGAUAUUCCCGUCAUGCAUGCUCGCGCACAUUCACAAGCACCAGACGAUGUGAGAUCCUUUUCACUAGCGUUUAGCCGACCUUCUGGCGAGUCACGCUUUUCUCAUGAUGAUGAUUAGACGUAGAGCCGUGCUCUAUCCGUUGUAUAAUCCAGACUCAGCCAAGAUUCAUCUUAUAUAUCCGACUGGUGAUUGGUUUUGAUACUAAUUGUGACGUCCUACUUUCUAAGGGUUCAACUAUUUUAGAACUACUUCAGCCCUAAUACGCUUAAUCCUCUAAACCUCUUUGCUCUAUCCAUCACACAAAAUAAUAUAGUCCGAUUAAGAGGUUUAGUCAUACCUAAUAUAUAGAACUAUUUCAAAAUCUAAAAAUAUCACAUAAGAAUAUUUUUGGACUUUGUAGAUAAUAUUUAACUAUAUCAUUAAUCAAUUAAGAUGUUCCAUCAUUAGAGGUAGGAUGAAAAUAUGAUAGAAUUGAUAUUUUUAAAACUAUUUUGGCUUAAUUGUAAAAUUAUAUGUUUGCUGAGUUAAUUUUGUCGUAUAUUGAAAAAAAAUAAAACGUACUAUUUAUUUCACCUGGGAUGUGAAUGAUCCUUACUAGAUACUAACAUCUUGGGGUCACCACCAUAUUUUUCUAAUUUUUGUCUUAAUGAUGCCAUCAUUAUAUUCUUAACAUGACUUUUCCUGUUCAAAGGUAUCACAAUAAAAUCUAUUCGAUGCUAACUCCACAUCUUACCAUUUGUAAAUAGAAAGUGAUACUUUGUGUAUUUACAGAUGUGAUCCGAGAUUUGUCGCAGUCGGACGAAAAUUGAACCUCUCAACGUUCCUUCCCCCUACCCCGGAUAUGUAAAAAAUACAAUGCAGACCUCUAUCGCAGUUAAUUAAUAUCUGUAACGAGUCAUAUUACUAUUUUUAUCAGGAAGCAAUUUAAUUAUUUUUAAUAAGUGUAAAAUGCAUCAGAAUAGAAGAUUUUGAGUUCGAGUUACGUCAGAUUGUAAUAUAUAAGAUUUUUAAUUUUUUCCGUACGUGCCGAGUUACUAACAUUAUUAAUUAUUAAUUUCCUCCAUCUAAAUUAUUUGUCACGUGUCCGCGAACUUAUCUCCUUUGAUGCCAAUCUUUUGCAUCUGUUGUUUUUUUUAAUAUUUUAUUUAUUUUUAUUAUUUUAAAUUAAUACCAUUCCGUUAGGAAAAGUCCCACUUACUCACCAACCUCGCAACUACGGAGCCUUGACCUCGGACUAGAUCGUGCCAAGUGGACCGAACGUGUUGUAUUUUUUAUUUAUUUUGCUGAAAAUGUUAGAACCCCCUCGCCUUUAAACUGUUUCAUUGAGUAUCACUGAAUCUAAAAUUAAAAUUAAGAUUUAAAAUUGAAAUCUACAAUUUUAAAUAUUAAAUUUUAAAUUUAAAUUUUAAAUCUUAAAUCGUAAAAUUUAAAAUUUUAAAUCUUAGAUCUCAAAUUUUAAUAAAAUUUCUAAAUUUUUAAAUUUAGAUUUGAAAUUGUAAUCUAAUCCAUAUUUUAAUUUAAAUUUUAAAAAUAUUAAAUAUUAAAUUUUAAAUCAAUAUUUUAAAUUCUAAAUUUUACAUUUAGAUUUUAAAUUUUAAAUUAAAUAUAAUUUUAAAUUUAAAUUUUAAACUUUAAAUUUUAAAUUUCUUUCACAUUUAUAUUUUAAUAUUAAAAUUUUAUAUUCUAUUUUUGUUUAGCUUUAAAAUUUAAAAUUUUUUAAUUUGAAAUUUAAAUUUAAAUUAAAUUUAAAUUAUUUUUAAAAUAAACUAAGUAAAAGAUUUUAUUUGUAAACAAUAAAUUUUUUUUGCCAAAUAUUGCUAAAAGGGUAAUUUGGGGAUGGAGUAUACUUUAUUGUUACUAUUAUUUAAUUUUAUAAAAUGAAUCAAAUGUAGUAAUUCUUUAUUUACUGUAAUGCAAUAUUAUAUUAUUGUAUUAAAGCAAAUGCGUAAUAUAACAUCAGUAGUAAUUUUAUUAAAAAAUCUUAAAUAUCUAGUUAUGUCGAAAUACUCUGUAAUAUUAUAUAAUACGAACCAAACGCACCUAUUUGCAAUGCCCUAUUGCCGACUAGAUUACAAAUUGGAUGAAUCAAACAUAGUAAUUUUGACAGAAUUAUCUGUAAUCCUGACAGCAUAACCCAAAUCAAACACGCCCUAAUAGAGUCCACUAUCAUAUCGAUCCUAUCAUUCUUAAUCCAAAAACCAAAAAGUCGUAAUCACCAACACCCUUAUACUUAUGAAAAUCAUAUUACCUCUCUCNGCUUUGCAUGUACAUCUUUCUAUCAUUAUCAAUAUUUCUUAUUUACUCUUAAAUUAAAGAAAAAAAAAAUAUUUUAAUUUUUUUUUAACUCUAGGAGAUAUUUAACUCAUAUUUAAUCUAAAUUAACUUAACAGAUGGUAACUGAAGGUAUAUUUUAGGAAUAAUUGCCUGUGUACCCUUUAAAACUUUGGAAAUAUCUCAUUCCUAUUUUUUUUUUUCUUUCCAAUAUAUCUCUCAUAUAUUCCUCUAUUAUUCCAAAAUAUACCUUCAGUUACCAUCUGUUAAGUUAAUUUAGAUUAAAUAUGAGUUAAAUAUCUCCUAGAGUUAAAAAAAAAUUAAAAUAUUUUUUUUUUCUUUAAUUUAAGAGUAAAUAAGAAAUAUUGAUAAUGAUAGAAAGAUGUACAUGCAAAGCUCAAAAAUUAAAAUAAUUUUUGUACUCCUAACUUAAGUUCCCGCCGACGUCGCCCCUUCUCCAAUCGGUGACUCGAUCGGCCACCGCUGGAUUUUGAUCGUACGGUCGAUCCUGCGCUGGAACUACCUCUUUUACAUAAACAUCCCUACGAAGUAACAAAAUUACAUAUUUAUCCUCCAACGCUUUGGUAAUCAUGUAGGCUAAAUUGCACUUUCGAUCCUCACAGGUCACACCAGCGCUAUUUUAAUUCUCAAGCUUUAAUUUAUUAAAAAUUUUCACUUAAAUAUUCUCAAUUAUUCUAAUUAAAUUCCACAAUGUAUUUUAAUUGAGAGUCCAGCUACUAUACUAUCGAUAAUACCAAAUACUUGAUGUUAUCUAGUUUUUUGCUGUUACAUCUAUAUUUUUUAUUAUUUUUAUCUAUUAGAUCAUACUAUUUAACCAAUCAUCCCGUCAACCCUAGAAGACUACUAUUAUCCUAACUGCACGCCGAAAACUUAAUAGUACAAAUGACCUAGUGCUAUUAAUAGUACAAUAGCCUAGUUCUUUACUUGGCUAAAUAAUAACAUGUCGGUAUGACAAUGGCAAUAUUGUAAUGCUACAAUCGUUAAUGCGACAAAUACUAAAAUGUCGUAUUACUAUCAAAUCAGCGUAUUAAGAAAAUUGGACUGUAAAAUUAAAAAUUUUGAGUCACAAAGUAUACAAGAUUAGAGUUUGAUAACCAAAAUAGUAACACACAAAAUCAUACAUUGAAUUUCACCAAAGGUCCUCAACUUUUUCUUUUUUGGAGGCUUCAAAAGUUACACAAAUAAAACGUAAGUUCAACUACUUUUGCUGUGCAUGAUGAUAGCUUAAGGUGAUCAGAUUAAGUUCAUGCACUGUAGUAGUGUGUACUUGUAAUAGAUCCCACAAUAUACAUGCAGCCAAAGAUAUCGAGGGUCGGAUUCGAGGCGGAUUUUUAAAAACGCGAAUCUGAAUCCGACUCCAAACCUAAGAUUCGAACCUGAACCCAAACCCGACGGAUUUUAAAUAUCUAUUUCCAAACCCGAACCUGACCAAAAUCCGAAUCCGAACCUGAAAAUUCGAACCGGAAAUAAUUAUUUUUUUAAUAUUUUAAAAUAUAUUUUAUUAAAUUUAAAAUUUUAAAAUAGAAAUUUAAAUAUAACAUCAAAUUUUUAUAUACAUAUUAUAUAUAAUACAAAAUAAAUUCGGGUUCGGGUCGGAUACAGUCAAAAUCUAUAUCCGAAUCUAUAUCCGUCGGAGUUUUAUUUUUGAUAUCCACAUCCGAAUCCAUAUCCGUUUAGCAUUGAAUAUAUCUGCUUCAUUCAUAUUAGGGUUCAAAUAAAAUUUCGAAUAUCCAUGUUCAUUGACAUCCCUGCAUGCAGCACCUCUUGGUGGGUUGUGACAAGGAUUUGGUGGAAAGUACUACAAAAUGUGAACCUUGUGCCAAGAUCAUAUGAAGCAUGGUUCAAUGUAUGUGGAUAUCAAUGUUUGAAUUUGUACAACAAUGCUUUGUGCCUGUCACUGAAAUGGUCCAAAAUGUGUGACUCAACAAAGUCAACAUUUAUGAUACUUUAGUGAGCAUUUUUGUACCUCCCUUCACAUAGGAGGCCCAUCAUUUUGGAUUGUUUAUCCUUUCCCUAGUGACAUUUAGUACAUACAUGUGUGACAAAACCAAUGUGAACUGCUUAUGUUGUUAAUUUGCAUGUCUAUCUUAUCUUUCACAUUCAUUUGGCUAAAUGAUUGAUGCAGGUUAGAUAACACUAGGCUACAAAUAUUGCAGCGUAGCCAAAAAAAUAAAAAUAAAAAAUAAAAAAUAACAAAAGAAGGAAGAGAAAGAAAAAAAAAUACGCUACAUAGGCUAGAUACAGACCACACAAGAACUAGGAAAGAUCACAUAGAUGUAGAAUAAAAUUUCAUUAACGAAAACCUUUCUUUUUACAAUAGAUAUCAAGUCUAUUAGUAGGAAAUCAAAUCAAACUUCUAAUCCUAAUCAAAUCUUGUAAAUUUAGAAAUGUUUUCUAAAAACAAACAAAUCUAUUCUUAUUUAAAACUUGGAAAUCCAUGCAUGUUCUUAGGAAUUUACUCCAUAAUAAAAAAUUCUAAAAAAAUUAAAACAAUACUCAAAAAUAAAUUAACAAUUCACAUUUUUCUGUUGUCAUAUUCGAAUAUAUAUUAAUUGUGGGAACUUGCAUACACAACAAUUCGCGUAUCUCUAUUGUUAACUACAACAUCAAAUUAUAUUCUUUAUUCAUGAGCUAGGCUGCUAUACUAUCGGUAGCACAGACGUUUCCGUACUACAAAGUUUUUUUCAAUGAUGCGGUUUCUAAAUCAAUGAUCGGCUACAUUACACUUGAUCUACACUAUUGAAACUAUUUGAAAACCAAAUUUUAUAAUUUUUUAAUAUUAUUUGGCUAGUAAUUAAAAGGUCUCAAAAUUGACAAUUUUAAUGGUAGAUGUGAUGCGUUUGUGAAUUUAAAGGUAUAAAAUAAUCUAAAUUUGAUAAAAUUUUUAUAAAAAAUUAUUUUACUAUGUAGAGUAAGAUUAGUAGCUCUGAACUUAAAUUCAAAUCUUCUAUCAUCAAUUUUUAUGAGAUUUUUAUUUUCAACUGUUUAUAUUUAAACCACUCGUUGGAUAGACAAAUAAUGUCGAAAAAUUAUAAAAUUUGAUUUUAAAAUACUUUCAAUAAUAUAGAUCAAAUUUAACAGAGCCGAUUAUUGAUUUGAAAGUUACAUCAUUAAAAAUAAUUUGAUAAUAUGAAAACUUUUGUGCUAUCGAUACAAUAGCAGUCGGACUCCUCUUUAUUUGAGUUCAUGGAAAGAAGUGUGACAAAAGCAAUGUAAAUUGCCGAUGCCAUUGGUAAGCGUGCUUAUGCAUGCUACCUUUUAUGUUUAUUUUUGGCCGCAUAAUGUAUGCAGAGUCUAUUUGGUCUAGUUUCUGAUCGAGUGUGAUCGCGUGGGCUUGCUAGUACAAAUAUUAUAAUGAUUUUUGCACUUGAAAAGAUAUUGCUGUCAAAAUGAGCUUUGUUUUGGAAAAAAAAAAAUUAAAAAAUAAAUAGCCGUACAUAUUUCUUAAGCUGGUAAGUUCUAAUUCAUGUAUUUAGCGCAUGAUAUGUAGGUUCAAAAAUUGUUUACUCGGUAAAAUCAAUGUCAAAUAACACAUCAAUUUUUUUUCUAAAAAGUAUGAUGCAAAAGUCUUAGCAAUGUUUAAAUAAUUGGACCUCCUAAAUGUAUCUUGAACAAACAUGGUAUCAUGUUAUCAUAUUAUAAUAUCAUUGAAUUAAGAUACGACACGGAUACUGUAGCAUCCUCGUUUGUCCGGUCCGGCAUGGUCCGUCCGACAGCGGUCGGCUUAUCAGUUUAGACCCCUCAACUUGGCACCGCACGGUCCAAAAUGGGCCUGGGCCAUGUCGGGCCAAAUGAUGGGCCCACACUCACAUGGGCCAUGCCUUUCCUCCUCCCAAGAGUAUGCUAUGGCAGGCCCUUGAGAGAUUAAGUGUUUAACCAAAAUAUCCUCUCCAACAAUUAUAUUUUUGAUUAUUAAGUAGAGUAAUUUGGUCGACAUGAUUUUUAAAAUUUGGCCAAUUUGUAUAAAAAAUUCACUAAUUUUAAGAUUUCGUAAAAAUAGACUGUUUUUUUGAAUUUUACAAAUCCGGUCUAAUUUCUUAAAAAGAUGACUAUACUAUUCUUCUUUUAAAAUAGAUAAAAAAUACAUGUAUUAAAUAUUCUGAAAAAUACAACUGGCAAGUCAUUAUUGCAGCUUUUUUUUUUUGUUUUGAAGAAAUAAAAUCUUAUCUAUCAUGCAAAUAAAAAAAUUUAAAUAAUAAAAAAAAGAAUAUGAGUCCUGUCAGACCAGCACGACUGACAUUGCCCCCUUAACCAACGUGUCCAAUUUCUAUCAACUUUUAAUUUGAAAAUCAUAGUAACACCUACACUUUAUGGUUGUUUUAUCUCUAUCUUGUUUUAUAUAUAUAUAUAUAUACACACACACACACACACACAGUGAUGCAUGCAUAACCAAUGUAAAUUGCAAUUUGAAAUUUAAACUCAUCUUGCACAUUUUGUCACAUGCUUGUGUUUUAUCUCUUACUUUUUUUUUGACAUUCCCUAAAUUCAGAACAUGCACAUCCAGAGGCCUAAUUUAAAGUUGGGCUAAAUAAAAUCAACUGGGUUGGGCCUUAAUUAAUAGUAGAUUUGACUUUCUUAAUCCGCGAGAAUUAAAAAACCAAACUCUCUAUGCUUCAAACAAGCCCAGGAAGCCUAGGUUAUGGUUAUCUGGGCUCUAGUUUUUUAAUUCUUUGUUUUCAUCUUUAUUUUGAUUGGAUGUAAGUACUAAUACAGUAUAGUUAAAAAUAUAUGCAGUUAAAAAUAUAACAGUUAUAACUCUAUGUACAUUUUAUGAUUGGAUGUAGUAGAAAAGCUACAACUACACAUUUUUCUUUUAGUUAUUAAUGUAUGCAGUGGGAAACUGUACUUGCAACUUUUAUAUUUUUCCCCCUUUGAAAAACAGGAUUAGGCAAAUGAGCUUAUUUUUUAUUUAAAAUCAUUUUUACAUGUUGUUGUAAUUACAAUUACCGCUAUCUGGGUGCAGUUUCAACUGCUGUAUUUAAACCGUCUUAUGAAGUUGCAAUUGGACCCUUUGAACUCAAGUAGUGUGUUAAAGCAAAUAUAGUAUUUAGAUCUGCUUGGAAUUAAAUUAGUUCCUAAAUAGGUUGGAGAUUUGUCUCUAAUCGUUUUUUCGACAUAUUAAUAGUAGCAAUAACGGCGUCAGUAACCGUAGCAAUUGUACGUAAAUGAUUCAAAUCAAAUAUCCUAUUUAGAUUCGUACGUAAUUGAACUUUUACUACAACUGUAAUUGUACAUAACAAAACAGCCCUUGAAUAGGCAUAGACUCUGUCUACGGUCAUUUUUUCGCGAAACAACGAUGGAUAUGCGUUUACUCAUUGAAAGGAUAUGGUGCAGAUUUGAGAAAACGGAGGGGCUCGGCGGGCCGGUAGGUGGCCUGUCCAUUUGACAUGCAAUUUGUUCGUUUAUUUACUUAUUUGUUUGUUUUCGUUUUGAGAUCAAAAACAAAAUAUUUAAGAUUGACCGCCGAACAUAUCGAUUGAUUUCUUUUUAAUCUUUAGUGGAAAAACUAUCAACAUCUUAGCUUGAUUUUGCAUUUAUUGUUCUUUCUUUUUUCACCAUUGUUCUUGUCAAUGCACUCCAAAAUUAGUACUAGUGCGACAUUUCUUUUUAAGAUAGUGGUCUGAGCUAUUCGUUUCGUACAGCUUUAUUCAAACUAUACUUUUCCAUGAGCUCUGACUAAGUAAAAUAAGUCACUAGUUUCUUUUAAUUUCCUUUCAUUAGUUUCAAUAACAUUGGGUAAUUAAGAUAGAGGAUAAAUUGCAGGAUAAUUUUGCUUUUAUAACUUCACCCAAUUUUUGAGAUAUUCUAUCCUUAUUUGAGCACGCAUGUGAUGGGAAAAAAAAAAAAAGAAUCUUAUUUAUUAUUUUUCUUUCUUUUUUUGGUUAGGUGAUUAAAAUUGAUGCGUAGGGCAGUAAUAAAAUCCAAUGAUUUAAAAAGGGGAAUAAACCGACUAGCUCAAUCGGCCUAAUCGUGAUCUAGUCUAUAAAACAGUUUGGCUCGAUUCUUUUAAACCUGUGGUUCAAUCAUCAAACUGGUGAAAAAAAAAUCAAACCGAAUUUUUUUGAUCAAAUCAUACUAAAAUCCAACAGCUUAAAAUCAACUAAGGUAAGUUUAUUUUAUUUUCUAUUAGCACAAAUUAGGCUUAUAAAAAGCGAUACUUGAAAAUAUAUUUCUACUUAAUUUGGCCUAAAAAUUAUUAUUUUAUGAUAAAAUAUAACACUAAAAAAUAAUAAUUAUAUACAUAUAUUUUUAUAGUAAGAUAUAUUAAAAAUAAAAAUUAAAUAUUUACGACGCGAUGUUGACGUCAGUAGUUCAACCAGUGAUCCUUAACCAAAUAAUAUUUCUGCAUUAGCUGUUUCCCCCCAUUUUUAAAACAUCGAUAAAAUCUGCAAGUAGCGGAGAGGAGCAAAUUUUCUGCAUUCUUGUGUGCAUGACUUUUCUGCAUCAAAAAUCGCCCAGGAGCGUCCUGGGCGGACGAUAGAAUAGAAUCGUCCCGUAUGUAGAAAAGAAAUUCUGCACAUGAAACUACGAAAAAUCUGCGUCUGCGACGAAGUACAAACUAAGUAGGUUUCUCUUUUCAAAGGAUAAUUUAAACUCGAUCGAUCCCCAACCGUGCAAACUAUCAAAAUCUUAUAAAAGGAUAUGCAUUAAUAAAGAUCUAACAUCAAGUGAUGUAACAUCUCAAACAUAAGUCUUUUAUUUAAUUAGUUUGAAAACUCUUUAAGAGUCUCAACUACCCCCUUUAAAUUAGCUGAAUAUUGACUUCGACAUUUAGGACUUUGAAUGUGAAACAGCGUUUAGUGACUGCUUGGAUGCUGUAUUAUUAGCUGUACGUGUUCAAUAUUAUAUACAUAUAUAUAAAUAACUCUUUGAUCAUGUAUUUUUUGGCUUUUUAUGUAGCUAUAGCUUCUAAGUCCAUCCACAUUGAUGUUUACUGCAAAUAUAAUUCACACAUAACGUUGGGAUAGUCAAUUAGCGCACUAGAGGUUGAAAUUUUGUUGCAAAUAGAAGCAAGAAGUAUUAAUUUAGAGCUGUUACUUUGGAGGUCAAAAGUUUAUGAUAAAAACAUAAGCACUGUUACUAGUAUGUACACUAUAAAAAAAGGUGUAAAUUUUACACUCGCUUAUUUGAAUAUUCGUAUUGAGCCCUUAUCUCAUCAAUUUUUUUGAUACUAAACACCCAAAGGAUUUUAUAAAUUAAACCCUAGGAUGAGGGGUGUAGCACUAGCAUUUUCCUAAAAAAUAUUUAUUUGGAACUUAUCUGAACUAUGCUCCAUUUUGCUUCGAGUGUCUAACCUUUAUGAAAUUUUGAUUUGGUUAUCUUAAUUACUUCUCAGCUGAUUUAAUUUAAGCUAUUUAAUAACUCUACUACUUUAAAAAUGUGGAUGCACUGUUUAUUAAGAGACUGUGAUUUAUACAACUAUUUAUGUUCUCAUUAAGCGAUAUACCUAAAUUUUAGAAGAAAUUAAAAAAAAAAAAACUAUCAACUAAUUAAAAUCAAAGUAUUAUAUACAAUUAUUUUGAAGAUUAGAUCGUCAAAUCCAUAGUUCAGAUAGAUUCUACACACUUUUAGACAACGUAAAUCUCCCACAUUUGGCUUGCAUGCAAACUGGUUUUGAUAGCAAAAAUGUAAUAACCGGCUCACAAAUACUAAAAACAACAAAACGUUGGUCCAAAUCAACAAACACAAAACGGGGGACGCGGUCUAAAUCAAAGGGCGUCGGUCCAAUCUUUGAUCAAGGACAUGACACGUUCAAAGGCCCGGACGGCGUUGGGCCGCGCAUCACGGAAGAUAGUGUUAUUACUUUCCGUCCAUGUCACCCACCUGAUUGCCGCUAGAUAGAUCAGACUUUUUGUCCUCAACUCACCAUUAUGAAUGUUAGCUGUUUCCGUCCAUAGCUGGCCUACAUCCCCCGCUUCCAAUCCACUUGUAUCUGAAUUUCCGACGCUGAAUAGAAGAUAUCUGACAAAGACACUGUCCCGAAAGAGGUGAUCGGUGGUUUCCGGGCAUAAUGCACAAAACACGCAAAACUGAUCCACCGCGUAUUCUCGACGGAUCAAUUUGUUAUUAAUAUUAGAAUUUUUAGUUCUUAUAUUUUCAAUUAUAAUCUAUUUUUUAUCGGAUGUGAGACUAUUGGGACAUCACACUAACAAUACCAAUUGAGUUUUCUUUUAGUUUUCAUAUGUGUUAUCUACAAUUCAUGCAAUUUGUUAAAGAUGUUAAUUUCUGUCCCAUUUUCCCCUUAGUCAUUUUUUUUUAUGUGAUAUGAUAUUAGAGUUAACUCUAAACUCCCAUCGUUCCAUGUAUUAGAAACUUUCAUGUGAUUAAUAGUCCCACAUCUGAGUAAUUAGUACGAGUGAAAAGGAUUAAUAUACAUAAUGUGUUCAAAUCAAAUAAGCUUAAACUUUUGGAUUAAAGAGGUUUUGGAUUAAAUGGGUUGUAAAAUAUAUCAAUAGGGCUGUCAAUCCGACUCGGUGUUUGUGAUGAGCCAGCUAGUGUUUCAACUCAAAAUUGACUCUGUGUUUGUGAACCCACUUGUGUUUCGACUCAAAAUUGACUCGAACUCGACUUCUUUGUUUAAUAAACUAAUCGAUCCCGAGUUCGCUUAUUUAGCUCAAAAAGUAAAUGAGCCCAACGCAAAUUGACUUAAUUCAGCUGGCUCUCUCAUUUUUUUUUGCUCAAUAUAGCUUAAAAUAAAUAAAUAACAUAUAUAUAUGUACGAUUAUUUUUAAAUUGAUAUUGAGCAUUUUUAAGUUCCUGUUUUUUGUUAGUAUGAUUUUUAAAUUUUAAUACUAAUUAGUUAUAUUAAAGCAAAAGCAAGCAUUAAUCAUAAUAAAGCAAUUCUAAUAAUAAUUAUAGAUAGGAUUAAUAUUUUAUUAAAGUUCAAUUCAAAAUAGCUUGAAAUAAUUUUGAGCCAGCUUGAAUUAAUUUUAAACCGAAAAUGAGUUAUCCCAGCUCGUCUUAGUUUCAAGCCUAACACGAGCUAGUACGUUUGAAUUUUCUUGCAAAUAUAUCAUCUCGAGCUGAUCCCACCUCGCUGGUGCUCGGCUCGUUCAUAGCCCCAUCUAUCAAAUUCUUUAGCACAUGUAAACUUGAGCCGGGCGCGCAAGAACUACUCUUUCAAACCAUGAGGUCGUGGAUUGGAUCGAGCGAGUUAUAUAUAUCUCUUUUUCUCACAUUUUAUGACAAUUCCACUUACCCUUUUACAUUCAGAUCACGCUUGUGUGGGGGAUAUAAUUAAACACUGUUUCCACACCUCAAACUAAACCAAAUGUGUGAAAGCUUAAAGCUAAUUAAGUAGGUGGUCAAUAUAUAUAUUACCGCACAUGGGAAAUUAAAAAAGGACCAUGCAUGAGAUGAGGUCACUGACUCAUACAUAAUGCAUGAAGAGGACAUGUUAUCCAUGGUUAUAAGAAAAGACAUAAUUAAUAUAUAGACUAGCCCUUUUUAUAGGGUACUAAAUUGCACCACUAGUCCCCAACUUUUGGCCAAAUUUCAUUUGGAUGCUCGAACUAGUAAAUUUGAUAUUUUAAGGUUUCAAAUUCUUAAAAGAACAUAUGUAAUUUUGCCAGCUCUUUCUCCUGAUUCAUUAAUUAUUAAAGAAAAUUAACUAAACUGUUGGAUUAAAGGCGCACGUGAGAUGAAUGAAGGAUCUAUAGGAUUUUGUGAACGAUGUAAAGAUGUACAAAUAAUAUAUUCUACGAAACAUAAGAACUUAAGCGAUGGAAUUUAAAAGUUUAAGGACCAAAAUAAAACUCGACUAAGAGUUAGGGGGAUAUAUAGUUGUGCAAUUAAUAUUUAUCCAUUUUUAAUGUGUUGGGUAGGGUUUCUUUCAAAAGGGUGCCCUAAUUUUCCAAUUAUUGGUUAGGUUCACAAGCAUCUCUCAUCAUAUGGUGCCAAAGUCAAGUUUGUUCACUCUACCACGGUUUUCAAUUUGACAUCUCUUUACUUAAUUAAUUAAUUUCUUAUUUAUUAAGAAAUUGAGACUUUUUUGUACAUGUGUAGAGUGUCAACGGAUACAGUGGGUGCUAACAAUUAAUAUUUUGUUAAGGACACAAAAUAAAAUUUGCGUAUGAAAUCUAAUUAAGGAAUUUGCUAUGUUUUUUUUUUCUACCAAGUUAUAUAAGUAAAUCAAAAAUCAAUUAAGAUGUGUUUGCAUAAACUACAUUAAAAAUCCAUAUAUGUGUUAUACGUGUGCGAGCGUGUGCAUGCAUGCAUGCACGUGCAUAUGUACGUGUGAUUGUUGACACAUAUAUCGGAUGGCAUAAGAGCGCGACUUCGUUGAGAUAGUUCGAUGAGCCAUUUAUGAUUCAUUUAUGUUUUUUGACCGAAGUAUCAUGUAGUCAUGUGCAUACACGUAUGGCGGAGGUCGGAUAUAUUGGGCCCAAUUACAAUUGAGAUUUACGCUACGCGCUUUAAGUAAAUUAGUUGUUUUAUAAUUUAUCAAUUUCAAAAUUGUAAUUAGCACUGUUUUUUGACUGAAUUAUCAUGUAGGUAUGUGCAUAGACGGCAGAGAUCAGAUAGAUUGAGCCCAAUUACAAUCGAGACUUACGCUACACGUGUUAAGUAAAUUAGUUCUAUUAUAUAUCAAUUUCAAAAUUGUACUUAGCACUUAGGUUUUGUCCCUUUCUUUUGGCGAGCAAAACAACACUAUACCAUUUGAUUUCUACCUCCCUUUAGCCAUAUCAAUAUCUACUUUAAUUAAUUUCAUGCGACUUUUUGACUAUAAUUGCCCCAAGCUAAUACACUAAAGCGAGAGACUUAUAAAUGGUGGGACAAGUGGAGCAACGUUCGCAUUGCAUGUGUUAUAGGACGUAGUCACACGCGAUUAUUGAUGCAUGUACAUGCUCACCUACACUUUAUAAGAUAGUGCUUUUGAUAAGAUUACGACAUACAUGUAUAUAUGCAUAUAUGUGAGUGGACAUAUGUGGUUGGGAUACAUACAAAGCUCUCUCGAAUUAGGUUUGUGUGUGGCGAGUCAAUUUAGAAAAUGCUAGAGCAUGCGUGAAUGUAUUUUUUAUGAAAAACUGCAGGAUUUUUUUGUGGUGGUUAUGCACGAAAAAAGUCUUGCUUUUCUUUUAAAAGAAAAGGACUGAUCGAGAAGUAGAGUACGUCUUUAGAUUGUGAUAGAAUAAACUUAAACACACGCGCGCACGCACAGAGAGAGAGAGAGAGAGAGAGAGAGAGGGUUCAGCUGCACCAGUGCACUGCCCAAGAAAUUAAAUGGGGUCCGUGGCCCCUUUAACAUGAUAACAUGAUAUCAUAAUUUGGUUCACACCAACUAGUUUGUGACCAGCUCAGAUGCUGCGUGCUACUGGUGUCUAGUACGUAAAAUUACUUGUUUGUAUCGCAUGCUAGUAUAUGGGUUGGGUUAUGUCACGUAUUACUUGCAGAUUAAUACGUACAUAUGCAGGCUUAAUUUGUUGAAUCUCAUGAUCUUAAACGUGUCAAAGAAAGGUAUUAGCAAUAAUAGUUCUAUAUUAUUGAAUACAAACACAUGCAUAUGUCAAAGUCAAAGGGGAGCUAUGAAUAGUGGUUUAUUGGAAACCAAUCAUAAGUUUUUCGUCACUUGCGCUCAAAACGACGUCGGUAACUCUUAUACUAUGUUAAAAGACUCGAACAAAUUCAAAAACUUACUCUCUAUAUAUGUUUUUGCACAACAAAAUUUUUUAAUAUUUUUUAGAAGAAAAGUCAGAGUUUACUUUAUUCUUUAUGCUAUGUACUGUUAUUCCUGGUAAAAUCAAGUAAUGUAAAGGGUUUGAGUCACCAUUAUUAUUGUUCCUUUUAGAGAAAAAGAGAGAAGCUACAUACUCACUUUACUUAUUGUAAAUUUUUUAAAAAUAAACUUAGCUAAAAAUAUAAAGUAAUUAAGCUUCGAAUUUUGGUUGCCAGUGUUACCGACACAAACGCGAUCUUUAAAUUGGAUAAGGUUCUCCCAACCCCCACAAUGUCCCAAAAAUUAAAAUGGUACCAUUACUUUUGUUUCU